CCAAUCUUUUCUAGAUUUAUGAUAGCCUUGAAGCUGUUGAUGUAUCUCACUGGUAGGGGUCCAGAAAAAUAAUUACUUGAGAGGUCAAAAAUUUGGAUUUUAGAGAAAAAAGGGCUAGACUUGGAGCUAUUGACACGCAAGGAACCAUGCAUAUGAUUUGACUUCAAAACAAGAACUUGCAAAAAUGGAAGACUUCCCAACCAAUGAGGAAAUGUAUCAUUGAUCUUGUUGUUACCAAGAUCUAGCACUUCCAGACCAUUACAAUUAAGGAUGGAUGGUGUCAAAGGCCCUUCUAACAGAUUUCCAUUUAAGUUGAAAUUAGUCAGUUGGCAUCCCUUUGCAAAUGUUAGAGGAAUCGUCCCAUAGAACUCGUUCUUCUUCAGAUUGAAGACUUGAAGGAUGUUGCUCAGAUUUCCAAAACAUUGCGGAAUUGUUCCACUCAAGUAAUUGUGGGACAAAUCAAGAAUUUGAAGAUAAGUGGCAUUGCAUAUUAAAGAAGAGACCUCUCCAUUGAAACUGUUAUUUGAGAUCAAAAAGACAUUGAUGGUCGAAGCUGGAAUCGGAAGAUUUCCACGGAUCAAAUUGGAGCUUAAGUCAAGAAAUUCAAUAUUCUUCCAUGGAAAGUGCUCAACUUCUGUCAAAGAGUUGUGAGAUACGUUUAAGUAAGUCAAAGAGUCAUUCCCCACCUCUUGCAUCCACUGUGGAAUCUUGCCUUCAAUUUUGUUGCAAGAGAGGUCUAACCUUUCCAAACUUUUAAGCCCUUUUAAAAACUGGGGGAAUUCACUAAGAUUGCAAGAUGACAAAAAUAAGCUUCUAAGAUUAACAGUAGAUGUAGUAUUAGAUGUUAAGUAUAGGCUGUUAAAUGAAAGGUCGAGAUAUUUUAGAUUUGGAAGGUUUGAGAACAUACGUAACUCUAUGACACCACUUAGAUUAUUUGAGGAUAAAACGAGCAAGGUAAGAUUGAGAAGUUGGAAUAUUGAAGAUGGAAAAGGACCUUGGAGUUUAUUAUUGUUUAGAUAUAAAUGUUCUAGUGAUUUGGAUUGGAAUUCUUGGAUAUGCCCACUGAAUUGAUUUUGAGAGAGAAUUAUAACCUUUAAGGAGGGAGCAGUAUACAACCAUGACGGAAGUGUUCCAUUGAGUAAAUUGUCAGAUAAGCCUAAAUAUAUUAGAUUAGGAAAAGUGGUUACCUCAUCUGGAAUGGAUCCUUCUAAAGAAUUUUCAGAUAUUCCCAAGUAUUCCAGCUGGGUUAGGUUUAGAAUUGACAAUGGAAUUUGUCCACUCAAUUGGUUCUGCGACAAGUCUAAAUGAGUGAGUUGCAAGAGGUUCCCCAAUGAUAUUGGAAUUUGUCCACUCAAUUGGUUCUGCCACAAGUUUAAAUCAGUGAGUUGCAAGAGGUUCCCCAAUGAUCUUGGAAUUUGUCCACUCAAUUGGUUCUGCCACAAGUCUAAAUCAGUGAGUUGCAAGAGGUUGCCCAAUGAUCUUGGAAUUUGUCCACUCAAUUGGUUCUGCCACAAGCCUAAAUUAGUGAGUUGCAAGAGGUUCCCCAAUGAUCUUGGAAUUUUUUCACUCAAUUGGUUCUGCCACAAGCCUAAAUGAGUGACUUGCAAGAGGUUCCCCAAUGAUCUUGGAAUUUUUCCACUCAAUUGGUUCUGCCACAAACCUAAAUCAGUGAGUUGCAAGAGAUUCCCCAAUGAUCUUGGAAUAUUUCCACUCAAUUGGUUCUGCCACAAGCCUAAAUGAGUGAGUUGCAAGAGGUUCCCCAAUGAUCUGCCACAAGCCUAAAUGAGUGAGUUGCAAGAGUUUCCCCAAUGAUCUUGGAAUUUGUCCACUCAAUUGGUUCUCACACAAGUCUAAAUAAGUGAGUUGCAAGAGGUUCUCCAAUGAUCUUGGAAUUUGUCCACUCAAUAGGUUCUGUGACAAGUCUAAAUAAGCGAGUUGCAAGAGGUUCCCCAGUGAUCUUGGACCCGGUCCUGAUAAGUUGGAAUGGGAGAGAUCUAAAACCUUCAAGGACACAAGAUUCCCCAUCCAGUCAGGCAAUCCUCCAAAAAAAUUUGCGCCUCCAAGAAUCAACUACUCCAAAGAUGAUAAAUUUGUGAAUGAGACAGACAAUCCUUGAAAGAAGGAAUUUCCUGAGAGAUCUAAGUACUUUAAGGCCUGUAGAUUAUCAACUGAAUCAAUGAAUUCUGUAGAGAAGGACACGAACGACAGAUCCAAAUGUUCAAGAUUGCUGCUCCGAUUGAACUUCAAAGGAUCAAGAUUGAGGUUUUGGUUGCCUCCCAAGUUGAGGAGAUUGAGGUUUGGCAAAUCAAAAAUGUUUUUUGGGAAUUUUCCUUGCAAAUCACAAAAAGCAAGACUGAGAGACCUUAGAGAAGAGGAUAGAUUCAUGAAGACAUGAGCAUUAACAGAAGACAUGUCCAUUCCAUCCAAAAACAGAUGUCUGACCUCGGUUAGGUUGUGAACAAGUCCCUCCAGAGCAUGUUUGUCAAUUGUUUGUGCAUCACCCCAACAGGAGAGAUCAAGUGAAACCAAUUUUGACAGGUGGGAGACUUGGGAUGGGACUUCUCCUGCAAACCCUGUAUUGGAAAGGUUGAGGUAGAAUAGGCUUGUAAACCGACCUAAGUCGGAUGGAAUUUUGGAAAGAUUAAAAUCAUUGAAGGCAAGGUUGAGUUUUUGAAGGUGAGGAAGAAGGAAGAGAGUGGUAUUGGAAGGGAAGUUGCCAGAUAGCCAACUGCAGCUCAAGUCAAGGGCAAUAACAUGAGCAUUUAGGUGGUCACAAGUGACCCCAUCCCAUGAGCAGCAAUCUGUACCCUCCUUCCAUGAAUUUGUCUUGGGAUAAGAUUUAGGGCCGCAAGACGAAUAAGCAGCCUCUGUUAUGGAAAAAGAGUUCUUGAACUGGAUUAGUAAAGAGCAGGAGUGAGAUCCUGAAGAAGAAAAAGAAGCAUAAAGAUGGGGAAAGAAGAGGAAUAGGCAGAGAAAGAGACAGGGGGGCAUGUUAUGUUUGUAGAGGAAGAUGAAGGAUAGGAAUGGUAUUUAUAGGCAACAAAUAAUACAACAACAUUGGUGUUACAGUCUUUUUUAUUUUCUCGAGUUCUAUGAGUUUGUUUAAAUUCGCCGUGAAUACUCGAUUUUUUUUUACGUUUUUGAUUCAAAUACCGCUAAAAACAUUAAUCGGUUGCCAUUAAAUAUGUCAUUUUCUAUUAGCUGCAAGAAAACUAUCCGAUAAACUGCAUCUUCUUCUUUAGAUGAAAUUUUGUAAAAAAAAUUUGACAUUAUCUCUUAUAUGGUCCUUCAAUUUUAUUUAAAAAAUGAUUUUAACUCUCCAUUUAAUUUUUCAAACAAAUUAACGCAACAUUUUAGUUAUUGUCUACUGUCCAAUAAUGCCAUGUGUAUCAGUACAAACAUUCCCAUUUCUUUUUUUUUUUUUUCAUUUUCCCAAAAACUCAUUUCACUCUUAGCUUUAUAAAGAAAAAAAAAGUUAUUUUAGCCCUUAAUUUAAUUUUUCAUCUUCUUUAACCCUUAAACUUAUAUUGUUUAUCAAAUAACCCUUAAACUUGCAUUGUUUAUCAGAUGAAAAAAUUAAUAUCUAUUAACUUUGCUAACGUGCAUACAUAUGCAACCUCAUUUAAAUCUAAAAAAUAUAAAAAUAAUUAAAUAUGUAUAAAUCUAAAAAUAUCUUAAAAUUAAAACUAAAAUUUUUUAAACUAAUACAAAUUUUUAUUAUUUAAAAAAUCUUAAAAUUUUCAAAUUAAAUUCCAUUUGUUUUCCACCAUUGAAGAACACCUUCAAUCACAUCAACAACUUCAUACUAUUUUGCCUAGAAAUUGUUUUGCAAAUUUAUUUUGUUUAUUUAUUUCUAAACCCAUAUUUCUUUUCUAUAACCCCAAUGGUAGCAAAGGAAAUGUAAAAAAAAAAAAACUUAAAAAUCAAAUUUUUAAUGAUGAAGGGAAUUGAUUUAUAUUAAAACCAAGGAUUACACUGAAAAUACAAAGAGUUGAAGGUACUAAACAAGCAAAUAAACCCUAGCUACAGUGAUAAUUAACUUAACUAUCUACUAUUGGAACCAAGAAAAACUAAAAGAAAACAUGAAUUAAACCCUAGAGUUAUGAAGAAGAAAACAAAAACUCUAAAAAUAAAGAGAAAAAUUGAAAACCGUGAAAUGUUAAGUGUGCCCUUUGUUCAGCCAAUUUUUUGCCCUUUCUAGCAAAUUACAGAUCCAAAAAUAGUGACCAAAUUGUCUUUGAUGGUCUAAUUUUGGUUAGGGGGAAAAGGAUUACCCCUACGGUUAUUUUUUUGUCUCCUCCCAUCAAUGAUAUUGCGAUACCCAAAGUUUGGUAUCGCGAUAUCCACGACAGUCUUGAGGAUCCUUGGGAGUUUUGGGUAUCGCGAUACCUUAUGACCGUUAUCACGAUAACACUGUUGAUAUGCGGUACCCUCUUUCUAGGUGACAUUUUCGAUCCUUCUGAGCCACCAUGGGAUCUCUGCAUCACUCAUCAACCUCAUCAGAUUCCUCGGAUGCCAUUUGGCCAUCUCAGAUCUCAAAAUAGUAUCAAAAUGGACACUAAUCAUUUAUUAGUAUAAAGAACUAAAACUAAAUAAAAAAACGACAAAGAUAUCUAAAUUGCUUGAAAAUAAGUUUUUAAGUGUGAUGGAGAGCCUAAUUUGACAUAUCAAUUUACAACAGAUUAUAAACAUAAUUUGCGGAACCUUGUUAAAAUUUUGAUUUUCUUUAUUAGUUUCUUUCAAUAUUCUGUACGGUACAUUUGUAGUAAUAUAUUGUGCAGAUCAUAGACUACAUUGCUUUAUUAGUGUUCUAUUGUUAAUCUAUUAUUAUUAUUAUUAUUAUUAUUAUUAGCACCACUUCCUUUUUACCAUAUAAUUUUUAUUCAUAAAAAUGAAGAGUUGAUUUACUAAAGAAAGAAGAAGAAUUGAUGAGAUUAUAAAGUAUAUUGACUUGGUCUUGCUUCCUUUAUAUGUAUGAAUGUGGAAAUCGGCAUAAUGCCAACUUAUUUUCCACGCAGAGGAAGAAAAUGGUGCUCUCUUGUCACUCCCUUUAACUUGACAAAAUACAAGACAUGUGAUCCACCAAUGAAUGUUUGACUAUCUCCAUCUCACUUUUUAUUAAUCAAGGAAUAUAAACUUACUAUUUCAACAUUUCAUAAGCAAAAGCUAAAAUAAUAUUGGUCACAUCCCAUAUCUUCAUAAGACAAAAGUUAAAACAGCCUUCAGUUCAUCUACAUUCUACAUUCAUAUCAAUUGCACACAAAGUCAUAUCUGCAAGCAUCAAAUAUUAACCUUUCAACUCCAUAAUAACAACACCAAUUUCUAACAAUUGCAGAAGAAUGUCCAAUCAUUCCACACAAAUUAACAACAAUUUGUAGCAUCCACUACAUUCAUAUCAAUUCCACACAAAUUAAGACUGCAAUUUCUAACUUGUUUAUACCCUCAAUGAAGCUACCUAAAAGAUAUGAAUUUUUUAAUAUUAUAAAGUUAAGUGACCAAAACAUAAAUUUUCUACUAGAUUAGUACUUGAGGUGUAGUUUACCUUAUAAUAAAUAACUAUAAUAAAUUUGUGAAUCAAUUGCAUAAUUAAAUUAAGAUUUUCAAGCCUUUUACCAAACCAAACUUGAAAGGAGAAAAAGAAUCAUGAAAGAAUCCAGUUUUAAAAGCCUUUCACUUUUCCCAAGUCCAAUACACAAAUUCACAAGAUCCCACACUCUCAUUUAUCCUCUUCAAAAAGCAAGGUCCACAACAAAAGAUUAAUUUAGAUAUUAAUUAUUUUAUUUUAAUGGGAUAUAAUUUGAUAUUUUGUUUUUAUUUUAAUUAAGUGUGUUUAAAUUAGUGAUAUUUGUUAUAAUAAUUAAGUUAUACAUUCGGGAAGGUUGAUAAUAAUGUUCACACCAUAGAUGUUGUGAAGAGCCACUAAAAGUGACAAUUUAUCUAUGCUAAAAAGGUGUUUGAAUAGAGUAAUAUUGGACAAUGUCCUACCUCAAGACCCAAAAGGGAUGCCAAUUUAAGACCCAAGGAAGCCUUCGACUUAUCUCACUUGUGUAAGGAGCUAGAGUUAUCUCUUUACUAUUAACAACAUAAUUAAUCAUAUUCUAUAAUUCACCUUUAAGGUGUCUUAUUCACUUGUUUAGGUCAACUAUACCAAAUUCAGCAUUUUAUUUCGCCAAACCAAAAUUGUCAUUUGCCAUAUAGGGAUCGCCAAGCCUAUAAAAGCCAAAAUCUUUUCAAAGAUUUGCCUCGUUUAGCUCGAUUCUUCAAUUUAUCUUCUCAAUCUCAAUUAUUAACGUUUGUCUCUCUAACUUGCCUCCUCAAAUUUAAUCAUUAAAACUAAAUGCAUUACGUGCUCACCAUACUACAAGAACAUAAACUUAUUUAUUUCAAGAGGAUCACUUUAUAAAUUUCCAUCAAUUAGGGAAAAAUUAUUAUACCUCUAUAAGUAUAUUUUAAAAUAUGGCGAUAUUUCAAGAUAGCACCUAUCACAUUUCAAUAAAACUCAUUAUAUAUCUACCACCAUCAUAAUUAAGUAAUAGAGCAUCAUUCUAUAUGGACACACAUCAAGCUCAUUUCCUUUUAUGUUAAUUAUUCACGUAAUUCUAAUUUUCAAUUAUUUCCUUAAAUAUUAAAAAUAACUACUCUGUUAAUGCCAUGUAGCUAUUUUGAUUAAUGAUUUCCAUUUAAUUUGUUUUCCUCCUGACUUGGAAAUGUGGACUUGACAACAAAAUGAAAUUUGAGCAUGACACCUUAAUUUUGUGGUUGGUUUGACGAAUACUGAAGGUUGGUCAUCUUGAAACAUAUAUAAAAUUAAAUGAUUGAAUUAUUGAAAUUAUUAAAUAAAAUAAUUAUGAAAUUAGAAUUUAAGGUUAGAGGUUAUUUUUAGAAUUUUAAAUUUUCUUUUACUGCUAACUUGUAAAAAAAUUAUGAAAAUACAACAGAGAUCAUUGACACAUUUUGUUCUCCUUUCUCCUUUACUGAGCAGUAGCAAAGAUUAUCGAGACUAAAUUGAAAGUCAUGAAAGAAGACAUAAACAACACCACCAUACAAAAUGUUACAUUCAAACAAACCAUUACAGAUAGCACGAAAUGCAAUGAAAGGCAGAGGAAUUGGUACGAUAAUAAAGACAGACACGUACCAAUGCAACCCUUCACCAUAGGCAAAACGGUCUACAGAACAAUAAAUUAUGAAAAUACAACACUAAUUCUUCAACAUCAUUUGCUGUAAUUAGAUCCUUCUUCGUCUAUUGCUCCGAUUGCCUUUCUUUGACUUUCUUCUUCGCCUCUUCUCUUGUUGGUUUUCAACCAAAUUCACCAACCAUUUCGGCUUACCAGUUUGGAAAACAACAUAUCCCACCGACAUUCCGAACACCACUCCGCAUCCAUAACCUAUCAACACCACUUUCUAACCAAAAUCAAUGUUUGAUUUUGAGCCAUCUGUUUCAAGCACAUUUGGAGGUGCUGGCUCAAUGAUGUUGCAACCUUUCGAGACCGGAAACCCACAUAGUCCCUUAUUCACUUCAUAUGAAUCAUUUCCAAAUGUGUUGAAUUGUUUUCCUUGAGGAAUCUGACCAUGGAGUUGAUUUUCAGAAACAUUGAAGGACGAAAGAUACUGCAGAUCUGCCAAUCCAUUUGGAAUCGUCCCAGACAACCUGUUUGAAGAUAGGUCCAACCAUUCACAACUGGAUUAGUGAAGAGCAGGAGUACUGAGAUCCUGAAGAAGCAUAAAGAUGGGGAAAGAAGAGGAAUAGGCAGAGGAAGAGAUAGGGGGCCAUGUUAUGUUUGUGGAGGAAGAUGAAGGAUAGGAAUGGUAUUUAUAGGCAACAAAUAAUACCACAGUGUUACAGUCUUUUUUUCUUUUACGUUGAGAAGCUAUAGACAUUAGAUUUUCAAAAUUUUUGUAUUUUUCACAAUCAUCAACAACGACUUAGUCUUCUUUUUACCAUAUAUUUUUCAUUCUUAAAAUUGGAUAUUAGAUUUUCAAAAUAUUUGUAUUUUUCACAAUCAUCAGCAAAAUCUUGUAUUUCGUUUGAACUGUCUAAACAACUAAAAAAAUUAAGAUUGAUGAGAGUACAAAGUAGAUUGACUUAGUCUUUUUUCUCAUAACCCUUAAAGAAUGUGUGUAUCUAUUCACUUGCAGGUCAACCAAAGCUAAUUAAUGUGGAAAUUCUUUUUCACAACAAAAUUGUACUCUAUUCACUACGUUUGAGGAAGAAGACUGUUGGAAAUUUAAUCCACCGAUUCCAUAAAAACGUGUAUACUUAUAUAUAUAUAUAUAUAUAUGUAUAACCUCAUAUAAAAUCUGAUAAAUUUAUUUGGGAAUAGUUAUUUUUCAUUCGUUAAUUAUUUCUCUUUUAAUCAAGUAAAAAAAUUAAAACUAAAAAGACAUUAUGAUUUAUUUGGCAUUUUUUAACUUCACAAAUAAAACGUCAUUUUAACUUUCUAUUCUUUUUUUUAUCUCUUUUAGCCUUGAAACUUAUAUGGUUCGUUAAAUCACUCAUUGAUGACAUAUUAACCUUUGAGUUAAACUCAAAUUGCUCUUCUCUUUGUUAUAAAUUAAGAGUAUAACUAAUUUUGAUAAAAAUGGUUACUUUUCAUUAACUUAGUUUAAAGGACUAUAACACGUAAAGUUUGGUCUAUUGCAGAAUUCACAUGUAAUGUGGGACAUUUUUUAACUUUACAAACAAAAAGUCAUUUGCGCCACAAUGUACAAUACUUCCACACCAUCUGCAGUAUUGCUACGUUUACUUGAGGGAAAACAAAGACAUGAAUGCUGGAAAUUUUAACUAGUUUGUACCGUCAAUAAAGCUACCUACCUAAAAGCCAUUUAGGAUAUCAAUUCCUGUAAUUGGAUUAAUCUCAUCGUUGCUGCAAUCUUUUGACAGUGUAAUCCAAUCUUAAAUAUGUUACUCUGCAGUGCUAUCGUAAAUAUUACUCUUAAAAUUGUGGAUAGAUAUAUAGGUUUGGCACAAAAUUAAGAAUACACAAAGGCAGGAUGAAUCAUUCCAUGUUUGAACAUCUGCAACAUAAAUGCAUAUGGCAAAAGGGCUCAAACCAUACCUUAUGUUCAUGAUGUUAACAUUAAUGGGAGACAACAUUAAUGGCAAACAAUACAAAGUGGUGCAAGUUUAGCACCCUAAAGUUGACUUUGAAAAAGUGGCAUGGGAUAAAUUUUUUUGGUCCUUGAGAUAAUGGGCUAUUUAUUGUUUGGUCCUUAAACUUCAACUAUAAAUAGGCCUUCUCAUUUCUCAUUUCAAUUCAUCCCAACCAAUCUUUCUCUCUUAGUUUUCUCUCUUCUCCCAUUUGAGAAUUCUUAAGGAAUUCAAUUUGUUUGUAAUACUUUGGAGAUAGUAAAGUUAUCAUCUGGUGUUAGUGCCCGAGGACGUAGGUAUAAUUUACCGAACCUCGUUAAAACUCUUGUGUUCUUUCUUGUCCUAUUUUUCUUUCAAUAUUUGAGGGUAUAAUAGUAGUAUUUAAUUGUGCUAUUAAAUUACUAUAGAAGGGAUAUUCUGUCUAAGGAAAGACUUGGUAUUUAAGAGAUCCAUGUGAUCCACCUCUCUUCCCUGGGAAUUGAACUUUGUGUGAUUUUUUAGUACAAUAAUUUACACGCUUCCGACCCUAUUGGAACAAUACAUGAAUUCUCAUCAUCACGUGUUUAUAAAUGCAACUCAAACUUCAAUAAUUGAAUCUUUUGUAAUUCUACAUGUAUUUUUUUUUAUGGUGAGCAGUAUAAUAUUUACUAAAAAUUGAAAUUCAAGAAAGAAGCCAUACAUAGUUGCACCAUACAAGAUGUUACACUCGAACUAAACCCUUACAAAUAGUACAAAAUGCAAUGAAAUACAGAGGAAUUGGUACAAUCAUAAAGACAGACACAUACCAAUGCAACUUUUCACCAUAGGAAAAACUUUCUGACAGACUACUAAACAAGAAAUUAUGAAGACACAGCAGAAAGGCUUUAACUUCAUUUGCACCAACUAUAUCCUUCUUCAUCCAUUGAUGCGAUUGCUAUAUUUUGGUUUUCUUCUUCGCCUCUUCUCAUGUUGGUCUUCAACCAAAUUCACAAUCCUUUUCGCUUCUUCUGAGCCACCAUGGGCUCUCUGCAUCACUCACCAACCUCAUCAGAUUCGCCGGGUGCCAUUUGGCCAUCUCAGGUCUCAAAAUAGUAUCAAAAUGCACACUAAUCAUUUAUUAAUAUAAAGAACAAAAACUAAAUAAAAAAACAACAAAGAUAUCUAAAUUGCUUGAAAAUAAGCUUUUAAGUGUGAUGGAGAGCCUCAUUUAACAUAUCAAUUUAUAGUAGAUCAUAAACAUAAUUUGCGGAACAUUGUUAAAAUUUCGAAUUUCUUUAUUAGUUUUCUUUCAAUAUUCUGUAUGGUACAUUUGUAGUAAUAUAUUGUGCUGAUCAUAGACUACAUUGCUUUAUUAAUGUUCUAUUGUUAAUCUUUUAUUAUUAUUAUUAUUAUUAUUAACACCACUUCCAUUUUAUCAUAUAAUUUUUUUUCAUAAAAAUGAAGAGUUGAUUUACCAAAAAAUUGUAUUUCAUUUGAACUCCCUAAAGAAAGAAGAAGUGAUGAGAUUAGAAAGUAUAUUGACUAGGUCUUGCUUCCUUUAUAUGUAUGAAUGUGGAAUUUGGCAUAAUGCCAACUUAUUUUCCACGCAGAAGAAAAUGGUGCUCCAUCCACUCUGUUUAACUUGACAAAAUACAAGACAUGUGAUCCACCAAUGAAUGUUUGACUAUCUCCAUCUCACUUUUUAUUAAUCAAGGAAUAAAAACUUAACAUUUCAACAUUUCAUAAGCAAAAGCUAAAAUAUUGACCUUUGAACUCCAUAAUAACAUAAGUUAAAACAAAAGUUAAAACAGCCUUCAGUUCAUCUACAUUCCACAUCAAAUCUGCAAGCAUCAAAUAUUGACCUUUGAACUCCAUAAUAACAACACCAAUUUCUAACAAUUCCAGAAGAAUGUCCAGUAACUCCACACAAAUUAACAACAAUUUGCAGCAUCCACUACAUUCAUAUCAAUUCCACACAAAUUAAGACUGCUUGUUUAUAAAGCUACCUACUGCAAAUUUUGUAUUGCUUGCAAUGAAUUGACCGUCAUUUUCUAUUACUUGCCACAAAAUUGGAAUUCUGAUAAGUUUAAUUUGGAAUAUGAUCAAUUUUGGUUAAAUUGGAGUGAAUAUUACUAUUUCUGUUUUAGCAAUUAAAGCAACCUAUAUGUACCCUUUUACACUCUGCAUUGUUCCAUGUUUCAAUUCAUUACAUCAUUCCUUCAACUCUGCUAUAUAUUAUCACCGUCUCCACAUAACCAAACCUUUUACUGCUAACUUGUAAAAAAAUUAUGAAAAUACUGUCGAAACCAUUUUUUUAUUUGAAAAAUGAGAGUCGACUUUAAGAAACAAAAAUGAGAGUCGCUACCAAUCUUUUUUGAGGUGUGAUCAUAUGCGCAAGAAAAUUUGCUCUCACUUACUCUCGAAAUUUACAGUAGGGGCUUAGGCUACCAAUAAAUUCUCAAUUAGAUAAUGAAUCAUCUACGAGCAACGAUUCCAAACCACAAUGAAUUGAGAGCUCAAACUAGCUCUUCCUCUAACUCAUAGAAGGCUCUAAUGAAUCCGAGGCUUCACACAUGACAAUCACACAAUACUCACAAUCAAAUGACAGCCAAGGACCCACUUAAACUAACCAAAACACAAGCCUAAGCUACCUUCUCAUGUAACCAAACCCUUUAGCAUGAUGAAAUUAAAAUGCAAAUAUAUUGAUCUACACUUAACAUUUUCACAAGAAACAAGUUUCAUUCAUCGCCAUAUUCAUCUAUAACUAAACUCCAACCUUUAAACCACACAAAACUAUACAUUUCAAGGUAUCGACAUUUUUCGACAAGUUUUGGCUAUAAUAAUGAAAAUUCAUUAAAACACGAGAAAUCUUUAAUAGAACUUAGAAGUAAUUUUAGAAACCUUCUAAUCAAGUUAAAACAAGUUGAAAAACACUUUUAAAUCACAUUUUUAUCCACAAUCUCAAAUUCCACUAUUAAUGACCCAAUUUUUGGGUUUUAAUUAAAACAUGUCAAUUUUAAAAUCUAAAUAACAUUAAAAAUUAAUGGUAAAGUAAAUGGUUACUUUUGAUGGGAGAUUAAUUGAGUUUUGACGUAAAUUUGAAAAACGAAGAAGAUGAUGAAAUCUAUGGCAUUUUUGAGUGUUUUUCUUAGAGAUUUAUGAAGGUAAUUGACUUGGGAGUUAUAAGAAAUCAAAGUAUUAUUGUUUGGGAAUAAAAUAAAUAAAUUGAAAGAUGAAGGGAAUAGCAAAGGACGGCAAUAGCAAACUUUGGAGAGUAACCAUCGUGAAAUAGAACUGGGAUUGGGGUUUAUUAGGUUCAAUUUUAAAAAUUGGUAAAACUGCAAUAUAAGUGCUCACUAUUUUAACUUUGUUACAAAUUAUUCCUUUUUUUCUAAAAUUUAGAAAUUUAAAACUCAUUUUCAGAAAUUGACUCCAUUCCCUAAUAGCCAUUGUAGAAAACAUUAUCAAAUACUAACCUUAAGAAAUUUGAGCGCAUAUAGGCUAAAAUUCCUAAAAUACACUCGAAAUUCUUAGACCCUAUUUUGGAGUGUUACACACAUGGUCAUGAUUCAUGUUGAAUUAAUCCAUCAUUCACCGUAAUAAGACUUGUCAUUGUAAUAAUUUAUUUUGAUACGUAUUAUUUUAUGAUGCAUAAACAUCAUAAAAUUUUCUAUUAUGCAAUAAUAGAAUUAGUUAAAUCAUCUAAUAUCUAAAAAAUUAUUAUUAUUUUAAUAAAAUCAUUCAUCAAAUUCCUGUUUUCAAAUUUCAUACAUGAAAUUAACAAAUAAAGAUAGCUCUAAAUAGCAAAACAUGGUAGGAUGGUUUUGUUGUGCAAACUUAGGAUUUCAAUUCUCAUCAAGGAACUUGCAAGCCUAUUAUAGUAGAAAUGUUCUAUCCAAAUGAUAAAGAUGUUGAUGCAACAUUUUAGAUUGCAAAUUCCUUGAUCACAUUUGGAAUCCUAAGCACAGGGACUUGCAAGCCUCUUAGCUCCAGGAACUUUAGAUUGUACCUGUUCAAAACAUUUUUCAAAGAAGGAACCAUAGGCGUCUAUUCUGGUUCAUCUCAUUGAAUACAUCAAAUGGAGGAUCAAUACGCUGAAAAAGGGACAACGGAAAGAACUUUAGCCAAUAACUUGAAUUUUAUAACUACUCCUAUGCCAACCAGCAAACCAUAACAACACAAAUGUUUGUUCUGUUAAGGAACAAUACACAGACAUAUUCACCUACCCUUGGUGCUGACAGAAUAUGCCCAUUCACUUGGGUGAAAUUAGAGUUGAUAUUAACCCCACAAGAUUUCUGCACCAUAAUUACUGCUAAGUAAAACCUGCACAUCAAUUUUCAUUCUUCACUAGAAACUGAAUCUAUUUUUGUAAGUAAAAAUUAGUUGUAUUCAUUGUUCACAUAAUUGAUCUUUUGUUGUGGAAGUAUUGUAUUUCCGGUAAUCCAUUAAGUAUUCAGUGUUUGAUGCAAUAGAUUUGUAUUUUAUUAUUUUAUUUUGUGGAAGGAUCCUUUAUCUAUUUUGUUUUUUACAUUUCUGAUAAGUUUACAUUUUUCAGUAAUUAACUUAUGUUGUUUUUGCCAAACUUUGUAGCGUUUCACUUUUGGUAAAAUUUCAUCCUUGGUCCCUUUAAACUCCUUUUUGCUUUAAUUUGAUUGCUUUCUAGCGUUGCAAAUUACAUGACACUCUUCAAAUGUCUUACUAAAUUCUCACUUCUACGAGUGCUAUGAUAAUCAAAUAAAGUUCAAUUCAAUUUUAAGUUCCAUACAACACUUACAAGGCUACAAAAUGUGUCCUCAACCACAAACAAUCCAAAUUUGCAGAGAAACCACCCAUUAUAUAUAGGUUUGCCAAUGAGAUGGCAAGCAGACUGCUAGCUAGAAAUUCAUGCAUCUUUGAAUCACCAAUUCAAUUAAUAAGCUUAACUAGAGGAAAUAAGGACUUUACAUCCACCAAUUAAAGCAACCUAUAUGUACCCUUUUACAGUCUUCAUUGUUCCAUAUUUCAAUUCAUUACAUCAUUCCUUCAAUUCUGCUAUAUAUUAUUACCGUCUCCAGAUAACCAAACCUUUUACUGCGAACUUGUAAAAUAAUUAUGAAAAUACAACAGAGAUCAUUGAGACAUUGUUGAAGCUGGCUUGGAUGAAUGCCAAGCUGUCCGAGCCAUGCAAGUCGCGGCUGAAGCUUAUGCUGCUGUUUUGCUACUUUCAAAUAGAUAUUUUAUUACUUAGUUAGAUAUGAACUAAGUUUUUGAUAUGCUUGAUGUACUUAGGUGCUGAUAGAUUGAUAAAUCAGCUUUACCAAGUGUACAAGCAAUGUUUAUAAAAGAAUAAUAUUACAUAACUAAACUAAAUAACUAAAUUAAAUAAUAUUAUAAAGUUAAGAGACCAAAACAUAAAUUUUCUAAUAGAUUAGUACUUGAGGUGUAGUUUACCUUAUAAUAAAUAACUAAACUAAAUUUGUGAAUCAAUUGCAUAAUUAAAUUAAGAUUUUCAAGCCUUUUGUGAUUGGUAUUGGACCAAACCAAACUUGAAAGGAGAAAAAGAUUCAUGAAACAAUCCACUUUUAAAAGCCUUUCACUUUUCCCAAGUCCAAUACACAAAUUCACAAGAUCCCACGCUUUCAUUUAUCCUCUUCAGAAAGCAAGGUCCACAACAAGAGAUUAAUUUAGAUAUUAAUUAUUUUAUUUUAAUGGGAUAUAAUUUGAUAUUUUGUUUUUAUUUUAACUAAGUGAGUUUAAAUUAAUGAUAUUUGUUAUAAUAAUUAAGUUACACAUUCGGGAAGGUUGAUAAUAAUGUUCACACCAUAGAUGUUGUGAAGAGCCACUAAAAGUGACAAUUUAUCUAUGCUGAAAAGGUGUUUGAAUAGGAGUAUUGGACAACGUCCUACCUCAAGACUCAAAAGGGAUGCCAAUUUAAGAUCCAAGGAAGCCUUUGACUUAUCUCACUUGUGUAAGGAGCUACAGUUAUCUCUUUACUAUUAACAACAUAAUCAUAUUCUAUAAUUCACCUUUAAGGUGUCUUAUUCACUUGCUUAGGUCAACUAUACCAAAUUCACCUUUAAAGCAUUUUAUUUCGCCAAACCAAAAUUGUCAUUUGCCAUAUAGGGAUCGCCAAGCCUGCAAAAGCCAAAAUCUUUUCAAAGAUUUGCCUCGUUUAGCUUGAUUCUUCAAUUUAUCUUCUCAAUCUCAAUUAUUAACGUUGUCUCUCCAACUUGCCUCCUCAAAUUUAAUCAUCAAACGUGCAUUACGUGCUCACCAUACUACAAGAACAUAAACUUAUUUAUUUUCAAGAGGAUCACUUUAUAAAUUUUCAUCAAUUAGGGAAAAAUUAUUAUACCUCUAUAACUAUAUUUUAAAAUAUGGCGAUAUUUCAAGAUACCACCUAUCACAUUUCAAUAAAACUCGUUAUAUUUCUACCACCAUCAUAAUUAAGUAAUAGGGCAUCAUUCUAUAUGGACACACAUUAAGCUCAUUUCCUUUUAUGUAAAGUCCUCUACAUAACUUAAAAGGGAUGGAAAACAUAGAGCAAAACUCUAUAUAUCCAUUCUCUCCUAAAGCUUUCAACUCACUCUUAACAAUACUACCACUACCAUGUGAAUCACCCUUAACUGUUAACCUUUUAAAAAUAACUACUCUGUUAAUGCCAUGUAGCUAUUUUGAUUAAUGAUUUCGUUUAAUUUGUUUUCCUCCUGACUUGGAAAUGUCGACUUGACAACAAAAUGAAAUUUGCGCAUGACACCUUAAUUUUGUGGUUGGUUUUGUUGGAAUAUUUUCAAAUAUUUAUAGUAUCCCAAUAACUAUAAAUGAAUGGGUGUAAUUAAUCAAAAGAUAAAACUUUUGGUCAUUGGUCAAAAGUUAUAUCAUUUGAUUUUUUAAAAAAGAAUUAUAACUAUUCAAAAAAUAUUAUUUGAAUAGUUACAAAAUUAAAUGAAUAAUUAUUAUUAUUUAUUUAUUCAUAAAGACACCUAUUGAAAGAUGUCUCUAUGAAGAGACAUGAAAAUUCCUAUAAAUAGGAAUAGGAUUUCAUUUGGAAAUCAUAUCAACAAAUUCUAAUAUUAUUUCUUCUCUUCCUUCAUUUUCUAAUAUUAUUAGAUUAUUCUAUAAAGUAUUGCUGCAGAAAUCCUUUGUAGAAAUUGAGUUUUUGUUAUACAUUACUCAGUGCAUAGUGGACUAUUCUCGUCAGUGCAAAACGCAAAUAGUCAUUGGCUUCAUUGUAUCCUCGAGGUUAAUUUGCUUGGAACUCGUUUGCACACUGAAGAUAAGUGGAGGCGAAUAUAACCUUAAAGAUAGUGGCUUGAUACACGCCUUGGAGCCUGUCCUAUUUCUUCUUUUUCUUUUCGAGUUCCGAUCGUGUGUUCAAGUUUUUUUCUUACCGGAGUUUUGUACUAACAAUUUUAAGGUUAUAUUUCAUGAUGACUACCACAACACAUGAAAGUGGAACACUAAGGGAGUUGGCUUCCAACUUUGUUAAACUUGAUCGUUUUGAUGGUGGCAAUUUUCGACGAUGGCAGAAAAAGAUGCACUUUUUGUUAUCAACUUUGAAUAUUGCUUAUGUUUUGGAUACUCCAAGACCUGAAGAGAAUGAAAAUGAAUCUGUUGCUGCAACCCGAGAAAGACAAAAAUGGGACAAUGCUGAUUACAUGUGCAUGGGCCACAUAUUGAAUGGUUUAUCUGAUGGUUUGUUCGACACCUACCAAAACGACGUCACCGCUAAAGAAUUAUGGGACAAAUUGGAGGCAAGAUACAUGACCGAAGAUGUUACAAGUAAGAAAUUUCUUGUCAGUCGUUUCAAUAAUUAUCAAAUGGUUGAUGGUCGUUCUGUUAUGGAACAAUUUCGUGAUAUUGAAAAGAUGCUGAAUCAAUUUAAGCAAUAUGAUAUGAAAAUGGAUGAAAUGAUUGUGGUAUCCUCCAUAAUAGACAAACUUCCUCCAUCUUGGAAAGACUUUAAAAGAAGUCUAAAACAUAAGAAAGAGGAAAUAUCUCUUGAGGCUUUGGCAAAUCAUCUUCGUAUUGAAGAAGAGUAUCAAAAACAAGAUCAGAACCUAAAUUCUAAAAAUGCCGAAGUACAUGUUAUGGAGGAAGUACAGACUACUAAACCAUUCAAGAGAAAGUUCAAUCAGACUGAUAGAGCACCUAAGUUCAAAAAGAAACAAAAGGGCUCAUGCUAUCAUUGUGGAAAGCCGGGACAUUUCAAGAAUGAAUGUCGAUUUUUAAAGAAGAAAUCAUCUUCUAAGGCUGAUAAUAACGAAAAGUUCGUUGCAAUGAUAUCUGAAAUUAAUAUGGCACAAGAUGAUAAUACAUGGUGGAUUGAUACCGGAGCAACCAAACAUGUGUGCAAAGACAAAAGCAUGUUCACAAAGUUCACACAAUGUGAAAAUGACAAUGUCUUGUACAUGGGAAAUUCUUCCACCGCAACAAUUAAAGGCAAAGGGUCUGUUGAACUACAAUUCACUUCUGGAAAGGUUUUAACCUUAAAUGAUGUAUAUUAUGUACCAAAAGUUAGGAAAAAUUUAGUGUCUGGAAGUCUGUUGAAUAAGUUUGGUUUCAAACUUGUUUUUGAGGCAGAUAAGUUUAUUUUGUCUAAGGGAGGAAUUUUUGUGGGAAAAUGGUAUAUGUAUGAAAGCAUGUUCAAACUUAAUAUUAUUAAUAAGAAUAAAAAUACUAUUUCUGCUUAUAUGGUUGAAUCAUUUUGUUUGUGGCAUUAUAGAUUAGGUCAUUUGAAUUAUAGAAAAUUGAAUGACAUGUAUAAAUUAGAUUUAAUUCCUGUUUUUAAUAAUAAUAUUGAAAAAUGCAAUACCUGUAUGUUGACUAAAAUUACAAGAAAUCAUUUCCCUAAGGUUAAAAGGAAAACAAAAUUGCUUGAUUUGAUACAUAGUGAUUUAUGUGACUUGCAUAAUACUCCUACAUUAGGUGGAAAGAAAUAUUUUGUUACUUUUAUUGAUGAUUGUUCUAGAUAUUGUUAUGUAUAUUUAUUGCAUUCAAAAGAUGAAGCGCUUGAUAAAUUUAAAGUUUAUAAAUCUGAAGUUGAACUUCAGUGUGAAUCAUUUAUCAAGUGCUUAAGAUCGGAUAGAGGUGGAGAAUACUAUAAUCCAAGUUAUUUUGAACUCACUAGAAUUGUCCAUCAAGUUUCAGCCCCUUACACACCACAACAAAAUGGUGUAGUUGAAAGGAAAAAUAGAGUCUUGAUUGAAAUGGUAAAUUCAAUGUUAUCAUAUUCAGGUCUUGGACAGGGUUUUUGGGGAGAAGCUGUUCUAACAGCUUGUCAUAUAUUGAAUAGAGUUCCUAAUAAAGAAACUAAAAUAACCCCCUAUGAACAAUGGAAGAAAAGGAAACCAAACUUUAAUUAUUUAAAGGUUUGGGGUUGUAGAGCUUGGGGUUGUAGAGCUAUUGUAAAAGUUCCAACACCUAAACGUAAAAAGUUAGGUGAAAGAGGAAUUGAAUGCAUAUUUAUAGGUUAUGCACAUAAUAGCAAGGCAUAUAGGUUCAUAGUAAUUGAACCAAAUGAUUCAAUUUCAAUUAAUACGGUUAUUGAAUCAAGAGAUGCUAUUUUUGAUGAAAAUAGAUUUAAUUCUAUAUCAAGACAAUUACAACCACAACAAUUGAUUCAUUCUUCAAAUGAGAAUGAGAUUCCAUUGAAACAAAUUGAUAAUAAUGAUGAAUCUUGUCAAGAAUUAAGAAGAAGUAAUAGGAUUAAAAAGGUCAAAGAUUUUGGACCAGAUUUCAUUAUGUUUCUUGUAGAAGGAAAAGGUGAAAGUAUAUGCAAUAAGAUACCUUAUUGUUAUAAUACCGAAUCUGAUCCUAUUACAUUUGAAGAAGCAGUGAAAUCUCAAGACUCUGCUUUUUGGAAAGAAGCAAUAAAUGAUGAAAUGGAUUCAAUAAUGGGAAAUCAAACUUGGAUCUUAGUUGAUCAUCCACCAGGUUCCAAACCAAUAGGUUGUAAAUGGAUCUUCAAAAAGAAAAUGAAGGUCGAUGGAACCAUUGAUAAAUUUAAAGCAAGGUUGGUAGCAAAAGGUUUUACACAAAGACAAGGUAUUGAUUCCUUUGAUACCUAUGCUCCAGUAGCAAGAAUUGCUACAAUUAGACUAUUAAUAUCACUUACCUCUAUAUAUAAUUUGGUUGUUCACCAAAUGGAUGUUAAAACUGCAUUUUUAAAUGGUGAAUUGGAAGAGGAAGUGUACAUGGAGCAACCGGAAGGAUUUGUUGUUCCAGGACAAGAGCAUAAGGUAUGUAAGCUUGUUAAAUCUUUAUAUGGGCUUAAACAAGCACCAAAACAAUGGCACCAAAAGUUUGACAAGGUUGUUUUAGCUAAUGGCUAUAAAAUAAAUGAAUCCGAUAAGUGCAUAUAUAGUAAAUUUGAUAAUGGAAAGGGUGUUAUAAUUUGCUUAUAUGUAGAUGACAUGCUCAUUUUUGGCACGGAUUUGGAAUAAAUAGAAAACACAAAGAAAUUCUUGUCAAACAACUUUGCUAUGAAGGAUAUGGGUGUAGCAGAUGUUAUUCUUGGGAUUAAAAUAACCCGAGAUGAAAGCACUAUAGCUUUAUCACAAUCACAUUACAUUGAAAAUGUGCUUAAAAAGUUUGAUCUUUUCAACUGUAUACCAGCAUCUACACCCAUGGAUCCUCAAUUAAAAUUAGUAUCUAAUGCUGGUAGGAAAAUUGAUCAAUUGAAAUAUGCAAGUCUAAUUGGUUGUCUUAUGUACAUAAUGACUUGUACAAGACCAGAUAUUGCAUAUGCUAUUGGAAAAUUGAGUAGAUACACAAGUAAUCCAAGUAGUUUGCAUUGUCAAGCUUUAAAUAGAGUACUUAGGUACUUAAAGAAAACUAUUAACUAUGGAUUGUGUUAUAAUGGAUAUCCUCCAGUUUUAGAAGGGUAUUCGGAUGCUAGUUGGAUUACAAGUUUGGAAGAUCAUGCAUCUACUAGUGGGUGGAUCUUCAUUCUUGGUGGAGGAGUCAUUUCUUGGGGUUCCAAGAAACAAACAUGUAUUACUGAUUCCACCAUGGCAGCAGAAUUUAUUGCAUUAGCCGCUGCAUCUAAAGAAGCAGAAUGGUUAAGAAAUUUGCUUUAUGAUGUACCUUUAUGGCUUAAGCCAAUUUCACCUAUUUCUAUCCGUUGUGAUAGUGAGGCUACUCUAGCAAAGGCAUAUAGCCAAGUAUAUAAUGGAAAGUCUAGACACAUUGGAUUAAGACAUAGUUAUGUCCGACAAUUAAUCUCUGAUGGAGUGAUCACUAUUAAUUAUGUGAGGUCAAGUGAAAAUUUGGCAGAUCCUUUGACAAAAAGUCUUGCUAGAGAUGCAGUAAAAAGGACCUCAAAAGGGAUGGGACUCAAGCCUAUUAAUUAGAGCCACCCAUUAUGGAAACUCGACUCAACGCUUGGUAUAACGUCAAGUCUUGAGUUCAAUGAGACAAAGUACAUCAUUAGUAUGUGACUGUUAGCACUAUAAAUAAAUCCAUCCUAAGAUUAAAGUGCUAGGUACCCGUAAUGAUAAGGGAAGGAUGAGUAAUGUACUCUUAAUGGACCCAUAACAUAAAUAUGUUAGAGUGUUAUAAUUACGGGAACACUUUUGAUGGGAUCUACCUAUGUGAGUGGAAGUGUGGCCGCUUCUAGGAGCUUAAGGGCUUGGCUCUGACAGCACUCAUGAAAAGAGGACAUAGACACAUGGCUAUAAUAGUGUCCCUAGAUACUAUGCAUUGACUGAUGUUGAAAUCAUUGUGUGAGAUAUGUUCAGUUAAUCAAAUGGAAUAGUUGGUUCAAAGCUUAGUCUACCAUACAAUUUCGAUUAACUUUAACAUGUUUUCACUAAGUGAAGGUUCAAUCGUAAGACACCUUUAUUUAUGCAAAUUGAUUUCCAAGAAUAUCAAAAUCUAAAUAUUUUGAAAAUGGGGGGAGAUUGUUGGAAUAUUUUCAAAUAUUUAUAGUAUCCCAAUAACUAUAAAUGAAUGGGUGUAAUUAAUCAAAAGAUAAAACUUUUGGUCAUUGGUCAAAAGUUAUAUCAUUUGAUUUUUUAAAAAAGAAUUAUAACUAUUCAAAAAAUAUUAUUUGAAUAGUUACAAAAUUAAAUGAAUAAUUAUUAUUAUUUAUUUAUUCAUAAAGACACCUAUUGAAAGAUGUCUCUAUGAAGAGACAUGAAAAUUCCUAUAAAUAGGAAUAGGAUUUCAUUUGGAAAUCAUAUCAACAAAUUCUAAUAUUAUUUCUUCUCUUCCUUCAUUUUCUAAUAUUAUUAUAUUAUUCUAUAAAGUAUUGCUGCAGAAAUCCUUUGUAGAAAUUGAGUUUUUGUUAUACAUUACUCAGUGCAUAGUGGACUAUUCUCGUCAGUGCAAAACACAAAUAGUCAUUGGCUUCAUUGUAUCCUCGAGGUUAAUUCGCUUGGAACUCGUUUGCACACUGAAGAUAAGUGGGGGCGAAUAUAACCUUAAAGAUAGUGGCUUGAUACACGCCUUGGAGCCUGUCCUAUUUCUUCUUUUUCUUUUCGAGUUCCGAUCGUGUGUUCAAGUUUUUUUCUUACCGGAGUUUUGUACUAACAGGUUUGACGGUCAUCUUGAAGCAUAUAUAAAAUUAAAUGAUUGAAUUAUUGAAAUCAUGAAAUAAAAUAAUUAUGAAAUCAGAAUUUAAGGUUAGAGGUUAUUUUUAGAAAUUUAACUUUUUAAUUAAUUAAUUUAGCACAAAUUUUAUACAAGUCAUGAACUUAAUUUCAUCAAAUUAUAUUAUCCAACUUUUACUGUUAAUAAAUUAAGCGGUAAAAAAAAACACAUGUCUUGAUAUAAAAUAUCAAAAUUGAUUAUAUUGAAGGUGGUACAAAUAAUUGCAAGAAAUUGUAAUUAUUAGGUAGUGAUUAUAACCUCUCAUAAUAAAUUUUGAAAAUAAUUAAUGUUAAUUAUUCACGUAAUUCUUCUAAUUUUCAAUUAUUUCCUUAAAAAUUAAAAAGUAACAAAAAUAUAUAUAUAAAUUAUAAUGGUUAAGAAAAUAUGUCAUAAAUAUGUAAUUAUAAGUAAUUACAUCAAAAUUUAAUUACUACUGCUUUCUAAACACCCCUAAAAUUUAAAUAUAAUCAUUUCUUUGUUUAAAUAUGCUAAAGAUUUCUAUACUCUUUUAAAAUUUAAAUUUUAGUCUCCAUGCUUUAAUUUUGAGACAUUGAGUUCUUAUAGUUUUUUAUUUAAAAAUCUUGGUUUCUCCAUCUAAUUUUGCCAUUAAAAUUAAUGGUGUCAACGGUAAAAUAAAUUUUUAACCCUCAACAUAUAUUGUGCAGAUCAUAGACUAAAUUGCUUUAUUAGUUUUCUAUUGUUAAUCUUAUUAUUAUUAUUAUUAUUAUUAUUAUUGUUAACACCACUUCCAUUUUAACAACACCAAUUUCUAACAAUUGCAGAAGAAUGUCUAGUCAUUCCACACAAAUUAACAACAAUUUGCAGCAUCCACUACAUUCAUAUGAAUUCCACACAAAUUAAGACUGCAAAUUCUAACUUGUUUAUACCCUCAAUGAAGUUACCUACUGCAGAUUUUGUAUUGCUUGGAAUGAAUUGACUGUCAUUUUCUACUACUUGCCACAAAAUUUUGUAUUGCUUUAAAUUCAAACAGGAAGAAGAAAACAUGAAAAGAUGAUGAGAUGAGCAUGAAGAUUGCUAUAAAUUUGAUCCACCAAUUAAUAAGCUAACUAAAGGAAAUAAGGACAUUUGAUCCACCAAUUAAUGUUUGAAUUCACUAUAGUACUAUGCUUUUUACUGUCAAAAUCUUGGAUGCAGAGAUUAUUGGGACUAAAAAAUGAGAGUCAUGAAAGAAGACAUAAAUAGUUGAACCAUACAAAAUGUUACAUUUAAAACAAACCCUUACAAAUACUACGUAAUGCAAUGAAAUAUAGAUGAAUUGUUACAAUAACAAAGACAGAUGCAUGGCAAUGCAACCUUUCACCAUAGGAAAAAAAUUGGACAGACUUCAAAACAAGAAAUUAUGAAGAUACUGUUGCGGAAGCGACGAUAAUAUUAAUAACAAUAUUAUCAGAAAUAUUUAGAUAAUUAUUAUGCCAACAAUUAUACUAAGAAAAUUCCCAGUUAAAUUGGAGGGGUCACAAAUGGUCCCGCUUAAAACCCAACAACUAGACAGAACUCACUUAGAUAUUUAUAGCAAUAAUAACUAAAUAAAUAUAACCAACAUAAAGCUAUUAAAUAUAAGCAAACAAAUAAGAAAUAAAAUACCAGAGAUUUAACGAGGUUCGGCCAAUUUAGCUUACGUCCUCGGACACUACCAAAUCAAUAUUUCUACUAGAAAUAUUACAAAGGAGAAGAUUUUUUGGGAUGAUACAACCAAAGGGGGAGGGGUUCUAUAUAUAACAAACCAAACCCCCUCCCUUUCUAUCUUUUCCUAAUGUGGGAUAUUGCCAAUAUUCAACAAAUCUCCACCUUGGCGAUAUUCCACAUCUUCGAACAUCUUCUCAUAACACUAACUUCAAUAGUGUCUUCAAAUUUGCAACCAAUCGCCUUCUUCCCUUUUGGUAGUUGUGCCAGCUUCCACGUCUUGUUUUUCUCUAGAGAUUGCAUUUCCUCUUCCAUUGCACCUAACCAUCUAUUAUUCUCUAAACUCUGAAUGGCUUUGGUGUAAGUGGAUGGAAUAUUAUCAACAACUGGAAGUGCAUAAGCUACCAUGUCAGUGAAACGAGCAGGUUUCUGAAUUUCUCGUCUCUGCCUUCUGACUGCAAUUGGCUCUGAUUGCUGUUGAGGUUCUUGGGUAGAAACCUCUUCCUCAUCUGACUCUGCAUCUGCCAAUGAAGAAUCACUAGUGGUACCUUCUGCUGGAAUUACCACACUCUGCUCAAACUCCACCUGCUGCGGAGUACACUCCACCUGCUGCGAAGUACUACUCACUCCUUCUGGAUUUACCUUAUUCAACAUGGCAGAUUCAUGAAAGGUAACAUCCCUACUGAUUAUCGUCUUCUUUGCCUCUAGACACCACAAACGAUAUCCCUUAACACCAGCAUUGAAGCCCAUGAAUAGAGCCUUCUUUGCUCUUGGAUCUAACUUUGAUUCUUUCACAUGAUAAUAUGCAAUAGAACCAAAAAUGCGCAAGGUGUCAUAAUCAGUAGCAGGUUUUCCAUACCAUUUUUCCAAAGGAGUCUUGCCAUUUAUAGCAGAUGAUGGCAAAUGAUUGAUGAGAUGUUGAGCGUACGUCACAGCCUCAGUCCAAAACUUUCUAUCUAAUCCAGCAUUAGAUAACAUACAUCGAACUUUCUCCACAAGCGUUCGAUUCAUUCGCUCUGCCACCCCAUUCUGUUGCGGUGUUCCACCUACGGUGAAGUGCCUUACUAUGCCACAAUCUUGGCAUAUCUUCAGGAAAGGAUCGCUUUUAUAUUCUCCACCGUUGUCUGAUCGGAGAACCUUAAUCUUCCUUCCUGUCUGAUUUUCAACUUUAGUUUUCCACUUAAGGAAAACUUCAAGCACCUCAUCUUUGUUCUUCAUAGGAAACACCCAAACUCGUCUGGAAAAAUCAUCAAUAAAGGUGACAAAAUAACGUCUUCCUCCAAGUGAUGGAGUCUUGGACGGUCCCCAUACAUCAGAAUGCACAUAAUCCAGAAUACCUUUAGUAUUGUGAAUCCCAGUGCCAAAUUUCACCCUUCGUUGUUUUCCCAGAACACAAUGCUCGCAAAAUUCAAGUUUGCAAGUCUUUGUACUUUUCAAUAAUCCUUGCUUGGCUAGAGUUUGCAAGGAUUUUUCACCAGCAUGGCCCAAACGCAUAUGCCACAGCUGUGUUGCCUCAGCGUCCUUCUUGGUACUCGAAAUUGCUGCUGCUGUUGUCCCGACCACUGUACUACCUUGGUAGUAAUACAGAUUGUUCUUUCUUAUGCCAUUCAACAUCACCAAUGCUCCUGAAGUUGCUUUAAGAACUCCAUCUCGUAUUGUCACAACUAGGCCUUUAGAUUCUAACGACCCCAAAGAGAUGAGAUUCUUCUUCAACUUUGGGACAUAUCGUACAUCCCGCAAAAUUCUAGUAGAUCCAUCAUGACUCCUCAGUUUAAUUGAACCUAUCCCGGCUAUUUUACAUGUGUUAUCAUUACCCAUGUAAACAACCCCUUCAUCUAGUUUUUGAAAUUCAAAGAACCAUUCCCGAAUGGGACACAUAUGAUAGGAACAACCAGAAUCCAUGAUCCACUCAUCUGCAUAUAAUGUUGAAGAUGUCAUACUAAGAGAAAAGUUUGACUCUGCUUCACUAUUGCAUUUUGCAACAUUUGCAUCUUGCGGAGUCUUCCCUUUUUUCUUCAAUUUUGGACAAUCUUUCUUCCAAUGUCCUUUUUCUUUGCAAAAGGAACAUUCAUCUUUGGCAACAGCUCGACCUUUGGACUUUCUUCUCUUCCCAUUAGACUGACUUUGCUGACGACCUCUUGUUACCAAUGCUUCCACUGCUGCUUCACCUGAACCUUUCAACUUAUCCUUUCGGCGUAAUUCAUAGCUAUACAAUGCAGCAGUUACUUCAUUGAAAGUUACUUCCGAUUUUCCAUGAAGUAGAGUAGUUUCAAGGUACUCAAACUCCUCAGGAAGCGAUCCCAACAACAUUAACGCCAAGUCUUCGUCUUCAAAAGUCACAUCCAAAUUCAACAAAUCAGCCACCAGCUGAUUAAAAUUGGUAAUGUGCUCGUUCAUCGUGGUACCAGGAACAUAAUUGAAACGAAACAGUCUUUUCAUCAUAUGCAACUUAUUUUGACUGUUCUUCUUCAAGAAUUUCUCCUCCAAUGCUUUCCACAAUUUACUUGCAGAAGUCUCUUUACUGAAUGUAUACUUCUGCUCUCUGGAAAGACAUGAUCGAAUUGUACCACAUGCCAAUCGGUUGAUGGUCUUCCAUUCUUUAUCAUCAACCCCUUCUGGUUUUUCUUCCUCAAUGGCAAUAUCUAGACCCUGUUGAAAGAGGGCAUCUAGAAGCUCACUUUGCCACAUGCCAAAAUGACCUGUUCCAUCAAAAAUUUCCACUACAAAUCUCGUAUUUGCAGUUCCAAUCCUCGGCAAAAUGUACGAAGUGGAAGUUGUUGAUAUGGAUGGUUUUUCUUCUGUCAUUUUUGCCAUAGCUUCUACUUAAUAGCCACCAAAUGCAGAAUACCCACAAGCUUUAGGAAAUGUUUCUGAUGUGUAAGAUCAGACUAAGCUGCAAACACAGAGCAUACUACAAAACCUUGGCUCUGAUACCAAUUGUUGCGGAAGCGACAAUAAUAUUAAUAACAAUAUUAUCAGAAAUAUUUAGAUAAUUAUUAUGCCAACAAUUAUACUAAGAAAAUUCCCAGUUAAAUUGGAGGGGUCACAAAUGGUCCCGCUUAAAACCCAACAACUAGACAGAACUCACUUAGAUAUUUAUAGCAAUAAUAACUAAAUAAAUAUAACCAACAUAAAGCUAUUAAAUAUAAGCAAACAAAUAAGAAAUAAAAUACCAGAGAUUUAACGAGGUUCGGCCAAUUUAGCUUACGUCCUCGGACACUACCAAAUUAAUAUUUCUUCUAGAAUAUUACAAAGGAGAAGAUUUUGGGAUGAUACAACCAAAGGGGGAGGGGUUCUAUAUAUAAAUAUCUAAGUGAGUUUUGUCUAGUUGUUGGGUUUUAAGCGGGACCAUUUGUGACCCCUCUAAUUUAACUGGGAAUUUUCUUAGUAUAAUUGUUGGCAUAAUAAUUAUCUAAAUAUUUCUGAUAAUAUUGUUAUUAAUAUUAUCGUCGCUUCCGCAACAAUUGGUAUCAGAGCCAAGGUUUUGUAGUAUGCUCUGUGUUUGCAGCUUAGUCUGAUCUUACACAUCAGAAACAUUUCUUAAAGCUUGUGGGUAUUCUGCAUUUGGUGGCUAUUAAGUAGAAGCUAUGGCAAAAAUGACAGAAGAAAAACCAUCCAUAUCAACAACUUCCACUUCGUACAUUUUGCCGAGGAUUGGAACUGCAAAUACGAGAUUUGUAGUGGAAAUUUUUGAUAUGGAUGGUUUUUCUUCUGUCAUUUUUGCCAUAGCUUCUACUUAAUAGCCACCAAAUGCAGAAUACCCACAAGCUUUAGGAAAUGUUUCUGAUGUGUAAGAUCAGACUAAGCUGCAAACACAGAGCAUACUACAAAACCUUGGCUCUGAUACCAAUUGUUGCGGAAGCGACGAUAAUAUUAAUAACAAUAUUAUCAGAAAUAUUUAGAUAAUUAUUAUGCCAACAAUUAUACUAAGAAAAUUCCCAGUUAAAUUGGAGGGGUCACAAAUGGUCCCGCUUAAAACCCAACAACUAGACAGAACUCACUUAGAUAUUUAUAGCAAUAAUAACUAAAUAAAUAUAACCAACAUAAAGCUAUUAAAUAUAAGCAAACAAAUAAGAAAUAAAAUACCAGAGAUUUAACGAGGUUCGGCCAAUUUAGCUUACGUCCUCGGACACUACCAAAUCAAUAUUUCUACUAGAAAUAUUACAAAGGAGAAGAUUUUUUGGGAUGAUACAACCAAAGGGGGAGGGGUUCUAUAUAUAACAAACCAAACCCCCUCCCUUUCUAUCUUUUCCUAAUGUGGGAUAUUGCCAAUAUUCAACAGAUACAACGUACACACUUGAACAUCAUUUCCACUAACUAGAUCCUUCUUCGUCCAUUGCUGCGACUGCCAUCCUUUCACUUUCUUCUUCGCUUCUUCUCAUGUUGGAUUUCAACCAAAUUCACCAACCAUUUCGGCUUACCAAUUUGGAAAACAACAUAUCCCACGACCAUUCCAAACACUACUCCGCAUCCAUAACCUAUCAACACCAAUUUCCAACCAAAAGAGAUGUUUGAUUUUGAACCAUCAUGCAUCAUUUACUUUGCAAACAAUUUCACAAGUAACCAAUCAUCAUCUUUAUUCAGUCCUACGUAUCAGUUGUAGUAGUUCAACCACUUCUUAUCAUUAAAACAUGCCAUACAUACACUAAGGGUAUUAAAAACAUCAAUCAAACCUAGAAAUAGGCCCAGUUGCAAAAUUUCUAAAACUGUUACAUAGGUAUUGAUACUGUCCUAGGGCUAUCCAUAUUUUUUUUAAGUGGUAUUGAUAUCACAUGGAAAAUCAAUACUAAACUAGCAUUCUAUCUCUCACCAAAUAUCAAAACAUAAAAAAUUAUUGGUACCUUUCGCAAGGUAUCAAUAAACUUACCCGAAGUAUUGAUUCCUGGGCUGAAGUAUCGAUACCAAAUACAUAUUUUGUUUCCCUGUACCUUCGAAAAUGCAAAGAUACCCUUUUUAGAAAAUAAAAUAUCGAUACCUCCACUACAGGCUAUAAAAUCUUAGCAUACUCCAACAUUAAAACCAUUCAAACUUAAUCCCAAACAACAUGCUUCAUUCACAUAGUUAAAGAACAGUGUAAUCGAAUGUUAAAUAUGUUACUCUGCAAUGCCGUUGUAAAUAUGACUGUUAAAUUUGUUGAUAGCUAUACUGGUUUGGCACAAAAUUAAGAAUACACAGGCAGGUUGAACUAUUCCAUGUAUGAACCUUUGCAACAUAAAUGCAGAUGGCACAAAGACGCAAACCAUACCUUAUGUUCUUGAAUUCUCAUCAUCACAUGCUUAUAAAUGCAACUCAAGCUUACCUAAUUGAAUCUUUUGGUAAUUCAAAAUGUAUUUUUUUUUGUAGUGAGCAGUACAAGGACAUUAGAUCCACCAAUUUCUGUUUGAAUUCAUUACGUCAUUCAGCUCUGCUAUGUACUAUUAUUUCCAAAAAUCUUGAAAGGAGACAUCCUCCAAUUUAAAGACAAGAAAUGAGAAAGAAUGGCAGUGAAUAAAUAAGGAAAAACCAUGUAUAUUCAGAACCACAAUAAAACAAAUAUUUUAUAUGUAUUUUCUCAAUCGUAUUAGUGAAAUGCUAUAAAUUUUGUAACAAUUUUUUACUAAAUAUAAAAUAUUAAAAUUAAUACAUAUGGUGAUAUUGGAUAUACAGAGAAGACCCAAGCAUGAAGUUUGAGCGGGUCCUUGUACUCUGCAAUCUUGUGGUAAAUCCUUGAACUACAUUUAUGAAUACUAAAAUAUUAAUUACCUCACUAAUUGAUGAAUCCUGAAAGUGCUCUUACGUUUUCUUAUAAAAGAACAAAGAUUACCUUGAAUAUUUGAAUUCAUUACAUCAUUGAGCUCUGCCAUGUUUUAUUACUAUGACCAUAUAACUUCAUCCUUUAAGCUUGUACAGCUAAUUGUCGAUUCACUUCACAUGCUCUUUUAUCCUUUCAUGGUCGGUCCAACUUAAUCUACAAGCAAUGAGGAAAUUCGGGGACAAUUACAGCACAAUUCCGCACAAAAUAACAACAAUUUGUAGUAUUGAUUACGUUGACUUGAGAAAUAGAGAGGAAAAAAAAACAUGCUUGUCUGUACCGUCAAUGAAGCUACCAUAUGAAUGCAUUCCAUGAAGCAUAAGCAAACAUAUGUACGAGUACCCAAUUUAAGUUCAACUUUAAGAUAGAUUAAUUAGUUUAUAUGUAGCAAUUUUACAGCUGAAAAUUUUCUGAACAUUAGAAUUGUCCAACAUAUCUACAAUGCUAUUUGUACAUUUUUUUAUCAGUAACUACUGCUAAAAUAAUUUCCUGUAAGGCGAGAUUACGGUUAAUUUAAAUUAGCUUAAGUUCGAUUUCUCAACAUGAAAAAAACAUAACAAAAUCCCUCUUAUAACGUGCCCUUCGCACAUUGAAGUAUUGACUAUGCUUAGUGGAAUAAUGUAGAGAUACAACCCCCAAUUGCAUCUUCAUUAAAGCCUACUUAUAGGAAAAUAGGGACAUGGGAUCCACCAAUUGUACCUUAGCUGCUGCCCUUAUUUCACGUCAAUGCAAGACUAUUGUUGUCAGACAAACUUAAUCAACAAACCGUGAGAAAAUUUCCGGUCGACAUUUACACCACAAUAUACAAUAAUAAAAAUUUUGCUCAUAAUGUUUACGCAAUUUGAUCAUAAUUCCAAAAAUUUAUAUAUUCUUUUAAUUUGAUGUAAUUCUAAAAAUUAUAAUAAAAAUGAAGUUCGAGCUAAGAAAAGCUCUUCUAAUAAGGUUCAAGUGACAAGGGGGAGUGCCCACUACUUUGGACACUACCCAUCACGGGAGGGUGAAAAUAAGAUUCACAGUUACUAGAGAGAUUGAAUCCCUUGCAGGAUCCAAGAAAUAUAAAGGCAAGGUUCUUGUUGUAGUAAAAUCUAGCAAGAAAAGAAAGAUUUUGUUGGACGAUUCCUCGCUUCUGAGACAAGUUCGAAUUCAUCAUCCAAGAGCGCACCUCUUUGUGUCAUGCUACAGCCUUAAACAAAGCAUCCUAAUGUUCUUGUUCUGCUGCAAAAAAGAACAAAAGGAUGAAACAAGUUGGGGUGCCAAAAUUUUUUUCUGAUGCAACUACAUCAACAAGAAAGCAGGAAGAAAGAAUCCUGGACUAGAAAAAGAAACUUUUCCUGGAUCCGGACUGCUCCAAUUCCAUAUCUUGUCCUUUCAUAACAAUUCCAAUGGAAUAGAUAUAGAAGGCACUACCUCUAUGGCCAUACACCCCCAUGUACGACACUGUACUACCGAUCUUCUCUAGAUUUAUGAUAGCCUUGAAGCUGUUGAUGUAUCUCACUGGUAGGGGUCCAGAAAAAUAAUUACUUGAGAGGUCAAAAUUUUGGAUUUUAGAGAAAAAAAGGGAUAGACUUGGAGCUAUGGUCAUGCAAGGAACCAUGCAUUUGAUUUAACUUUAGUACAAGAACUUAUAGCUGUGGAAGUGAUACAUGAUGGGAUGAAAUUUAUUAAAUUUCAAUCACCAACGCUGUCAAUUUUCAAGCUUGAGAAAUCAGCAGACUUGCGACGACUUGUUGUGUGGUAUCCUGGAAUUUUUGGGUUGAGAUUUCAAUGAAGUUGGAAGAUCUGUCUCUUAGCUUCGAAACGUAUUUUGAAUCACUCAAUUUUGAGUUCGGGAGCUCAAGUUAUGACCAUUUUAGUGAAGGCUGCGCAAGCAGAAUUUUUGAACGGGAUUAUGACGGGAAUUACAAAUUUCGGGCUUUUAAUUCGAGUUUAAAUCAUAUUUGGUUCGGUUGUAGGUUUAAUUUUUAUUAUAUAUGAGACCAAUAUUGUAUUAAUCAGCUCUUAUUAUUCUAUUAUUAGUUUGUUCUAAAUUUUUUUAUAAUUAUUAAGUAUUUUAAGUUAUUUAGGAGUUUUAUGUUAACAAGAAAGUUUAAUUUAAAACUAUUUUUUGUUUAGAUUAAAUUAGAGUUCUAGUAUACUUAAAAAUUUUAUUUAGAUUUAUUUAGCUAGACUAUAUAUAGGCCUUUUCAUUGUACACAAUUCAUUAUUAUUCUAUUUCUCUUAGAGUUAAUAAAUUCUCUCUAGAUUUUUCUUUUCAAGAAUUUCUCUUAAGUUUCUUUUAGAAGAGUUUUAACAAUCUUUUUAGAUUGUGGAGAUCAUCUUCAAACUUUUUUUUACCAAGAUUUCUAUCCUGGAGGGGAAAUUAGAGUUGUUUGAAAUGGGUUAUAGAUUCUUUGUGUUUGCAAGGCUUCUUAAGACUACAUGUCACGUUCUAUCUUUUUAUUUAUCUUGGAAGAGAAAUUAGAACUGCUUGAAGGGGGUUUUGGAUUCUUCGUGUUUCUAAAGCUUCUUAGGACUUCUAUACGUCACAUUCUAUCUUUCUAUUUAUUUUCUUUAUUCAUUUCCUUAUUGUUCUAAUAUUUGAUUUAUUUUUUUAUUCUAGUUAUUUAUUUUAAUUGUUUUAUCUGAUUUCGAUUUGAUUUCGUUUUAGGUUGUGUCAAAAUCUAAAUUUCUUUCCAAACGUGUAGAGCCCUAAGUCAAAUCCACGACUUUGACAAACUUUACGAUCCUCUUCUGUGUUCAUCCGUCUCAUUUUUUAUCAGGAAGACUUCCCAGCCAAUGAGGAAAUGUACCAUUGAUCUUGUUGUUACCAAGAUCUAGCUUAGCACUUUCAGUCCUUUACAAUUAAGGAUGGUGUCAAAGGCCCUUCUAACAGAUUUCCAUUUAAGUUGAAAUUACUCAAUUGGAAUCCCUUUGCAAAUGUUAGAGGAAUCGUCCCAUAAAACUUGUUCUUCUUCAGAUUCAUGAAUUCAAGGAUGUUGCUCAAAUCUCCAAAACAUUGCGAAAUUGUUCCACUCAAAUUAUUGUGGGACAAAUCAAGAAUUCGAAGAGAACUGGCAUUGCAUAUUAAAGAAGAGACCUCUCCAUUGAAACUAUUAUUUCAGAUCAGAAAGACUCCGAUCGUCGAAGCUGGAAUCAAAAGAUUUCCACUGAUCAAAUUGGAGCUUAAGUCAAGAAAUGCAAUAUUCUUCCAUUGAGUAGAUUGUCAAUUAAGAUUAAAGAUAUUAGAUUAGGAAAAGCAGCUACUUCAUCUGGAAUUGAACUUUCUAAUGAAUUUCUAGCUAUUUCCAAGUAUUCAAGUUGCGUUAGGUUUAAAAUUGACAAUGAAAUUUGUCCACUCAAUUCGUUCGAUGACAAGUCUAAAAAAUUCAAGGACACAAGAUUCCCCAUCGAGUCAGGCAAUAUCCUCCGCAAAUAUUUGCUUCUGAAAUAAUCAAGAACUCUAACGAUGAUAAAUUUGUGAUUGAGACAGAGAAUCUUUGAAAGAGAAUUACCUGAUAGAUCUAAGUACUUUAAGGCCUGUAGAUUAUCAACUGAAUUAAUGAAUUCGGUGGAGAAGGACAUCCACGACAGACCCAAAUGUUCAAGAUUGCUGCUCCGAUUGAACUUCAAAAGAUCAAGAUUCAGGUUUUGGUUGCCUCCCAAGUUGAGGAAAUUUAGGUUUGGCAAAUCAAAAAUGUUUUUUUGGGAAUUUUCCUUGCAAAUCACAACCAGAAAGACUGAGAGACCUUAGAGAAGAGGAUAGAUUCGUGAAGACAUGAGGAUUAAUAGAAGACAUGUUGAUUUCAUCCAAAAACAGAUGUCUGACCUCGGUCAGGUUGUGAACAAGUCCCUCGACAGCAUGUUUGUCAAUUGUUUGUCCAUCAGCCUAAUAGGAGAGAUUAAGUGAAACCAAUUUUGAUAGGUGGGAGACUUGGGAUGGGAUUUGUCCUACAAAACUUGUAUGAGAAAGGUUGAGAUAUACUAGGCUUGUAAAAAAAUUUAAAAUUUAAUCGGUUAGCAUUAAAUAUGUCAUUUUCUAUUAACUGCAAGAAAACUAUCCGGUAAACUGCAUCUUCCUCUUUAGAUGAAAUUUUGUAAAAAAAAAAAAAAUUGACAUUAUCACUUAUAUGGUCCUUCAAUUUUUUUUUUAAAAAGUCAUUUUAACUCUCUAUUUAAUUUUUCGCGUCUUUGAGCUUUUAAAUUUGCGUUAUUUAUCAAAUCAUCCCAAAAUGGAUGAAAAAGUUAACAUUUGUUAAUUCUAUUGACGAGACAUACAUAUCGAUAUCAAAUAAACAAUUAAUUGAUUUUUAAAUUUUAAAAAUUUUAAAAAUAAAACAUAUAUUAAAGUUUUCUAAGAAAUGAGGAAAUUGGAACCAUGUACAGAAGAAUGUCCAAUAAUAUAAACACAACAUUUUAGUUAUUUUCUACUGUCCAAUAAUGCCAUGUGUAUUAGUACAAACAUUCAUUAAACCUAAUUUAAUUUUAGCCAUUAAUUUAAUUUUUCAUCUUUAUUAGCCCUUAAACCUACAUUAUUUAUCAAAUAACCCUUAAACUUAUAUUGUUUAUCAGAUGAAAAAAUUAAUAUCUAUUAACUUUGCUAACGUGCAUACAUAUGCAACUUCUUAUUUAAAUCUAAAAAAUCUAAAAAUAAUUAAAUAUGUAUAAAUCUAAAAAUAUCUUAAAAUUAAAACUAAUUUUUUUUAAACUAAUGCAAAUUUUUAGUAUUUAAAAAAUCUUAAAAUUUUCAAAUUAAAUUCCAUUAGUUUUCCACCGUUGAAGAACACCUUCAAUCACAUCAACAAUUUCAUGCUGUUUUGCCUAGAAAUUGUUUUGCAAAUUUAUUUUGUUUUAUUUAUUUCUAAACCCAUAUUUCUUUGCUAUAACUCCAAUUAUUAGAUUGUUUAGGGUUUUGAGUAACUUUCGGUUUUAAAAUUUUAGAUUUUUUAAAUUUAAAUACGAAGUGCUCUUCUUCUUCUCCAAACCCACAAUUUUUUUCUGCCAAAUUUCAACUCAAGGUUUUACUUUCAACUAUAAAUAAAACAUAUAUUAUAUUUAUAAUAAUCUAAGAAGUGAAAUAAUUAGAAUUGACUUGGUCUUGCUUCCUUUAUAUGUAUGAAUGUGGAAAUUGGCAUAAUGCCAACUUAUUUUCCACGCAGAAGAAGAAAAUGGUGCUCUAUUCACUCCCUUUCCUAGCAAACAAGGCCACAUAUGACUUAGAUAGAUAUAUAUAUAUAUAUAUAUGGUCCCUAAGUGUGUAUAUAUUAAUAUAUUUUCAAGUAAACAAACUUAUGCCUUAAAAGUUGAAUAAUAGCAUCUAAGAAACAAAUUUUCCACCAGACUGGAAAUUUUGUAUUGCUUGGAAUGAAUUGACUCUCAUUUUCUAUUACUUGCUAGAAAUAGGGGAAAUUUCACAUCAAUGCAUUCACUUCACUAGGUCUUGCUUCCUAUCACUGUCAACCAAACUUGAUCGACUAGCAGUAAGGAAAUUUCAGUCAUUUGCAGCAUAAGAAUUCCACACCCUCAAAAUAAUUUGCAAUUUCAAAAAUAGAUUAAUAAGUGUGGUUCAAAUACCAAGACUAUAAUAUCUAUUCACUUCACUUGGUCUUUAUUACUCACACAGAAUGUAUCAUCAUCAUCAUUAUAUUACUCUUUUAUUGUUAUUUUUAUUUUUUUCUUGUUACUUUUAUUUGUUAUUAUUAUUAUUUUUUUAUACUUUCAUGUUUUCUUUUUCAUAUAUUCCACCUUUUAUUUGUUUAUUUCAUUCUUUUACCUAAUUAAUAUUAGAUUUUAUUAGUUGGUGCCAUUACUUAUUUGUUGUUUUUGAUAUAUCAUCGCUUCGUUAAUAUGCACCAUCAUUUUAUUAUUGUUGCAAUUACGUCACGAGCCGUUUUAAAUGUAUUCAUGCUUUUCUAUUAUGCCCCGAAUAAAUUAAAUAUCUACCAUUUUAAAUAUUACAUUAACUUUUAUGCGAUACAUAAAAAAAGAAUUUUUUUUUACCAAGGCAAAUGUUUGUUAUUUCAAAUUUAGAAAAAUCAUGUUCUAACUUACGGAAUAUGGUUGCCUUCUAAAAUUGAGAUAAUUGAAUAUAUUUUAAAAUAAACAAAAAUUUGUUUUUUUUUUUUUUACAUUUGUUCUCAUUUUCGGGAUUUAAGGCAUGGUGUCCUAACUUACGGAACGUGAUCCUUUUUCCCGAUUAAUUUAAAAUAAAUCUAUUUUUGUGAAAACAAAAUUUAAGUAAUAUUGAAACGAAGGACCGUAUUUUAAAAUCUCUUCAAAUUCUCAAUUUUUGACACUAAGACAUUAAUUAAUUAAUCAAUUAGGUACUAAUUUUGGGCGUUACGAGGGUGCUAAUAUUUCCUCGUACGUAACCGACUCUCGAACUUAUUUCCUGGAUUUUUGUAGACCAAAAAUUGUUGUUUUAGUAAAUCAAAUCUUUUAUUAAAACGAUUAAAUUACAAGGUGAUCCGAUCACACUAAUAAAAAGGAUUGGUGACGACUCCCAUUUUCGUUUUCAAAAUAAAAGUCGACCCUUUUCAAAAAUAGUUUCGACAAUGUGUAACAAGUAUUUUUAUUAAUCCAUUUGGAACAAGAUUUUGUUUCCUAAUGUUAAGAUUUGCUGGAGCAAAUAAAUUGAUUAAUGCUUUGAACUUUCCCAAACACUUUUUAUCAUUUUGUAUAAUUAGUAUAUUUGAAUAUAUUAGAUACAUCGUCUAAAACAAUGUCAAUAGUAAUUUUUUUAUAUUUUGUGGACCACAAGGGUACCAUAUAAAUAAUUUUAAAAAAAAGAUGGAGUGAUACAUUUACGUAGUGCUUAUGAAUAUAAUGUUGGAUUAAAAUCCUUAAUUAUGAGUACAUAUGUAUAAUGUUUGAUAUUACAAUUAUCUUAAUAAUUUUGUUUCUGUUUUUGUUGAUUGAUGAUUAUAAAAAUCAUUAUUUUUCUGAAGGCAUGCUUUGUUGUCAAUGACAGUACCUGCACCCUAAAAUAAUCACCAGCUUUAACAACUGCAAGAGUUGUCCUGCCUGACAUUUACUAAAAAAUCACCAGGGAGCACAUUGUCAGGAGAUCCUUGCUGGAAAAAACUUGGUAGGAUGGUUUUUUUGUGCAAACUUAGGAUUUCAAUUCUCAUCAAGGAACUUGCAAGCCAAUUAUUGUAGAAAUGUUUGUCCAAAUGAUAAACAUUUGGAAUCCUAACCACAGGGACUUUUGCAAGCCUAUUAAUUAGCUCCAGGAACUUUAGAUUCUACCUGUUCAAAACAUUUUUUCAAAGAAGGAAGCAUAGGUGAAAGGCGUCUAUUCUGGUUCAUCUCAUUGAAUACAUCAAAUGGAGGAUCAAUACGCUGAAAAAGGGACAAUGGAAAGAACUUUAGCCUACAACUUGAAUUUUAUAACUACUCCUAUGCCAACCAGCAAACCAUAACAGCAUACAUAAAAAAGAGGAUGCUGACUUACAGUUCCUUUCAUUUCACCAAAACCAAUCAAAUCCCUUGCAAUGUUGUUUGGAUCACAACAGCUCAUCUUUCAAUCCUAGAUGGCUCCGCCAAUUUUUUGAAAGCAUACAUGAACUGUUCAAGAAAUAAAUGGAUAAAACAACUACAGGAUAGAAGGCUAAAAAAUUACAAAGAGCAAUGACCUUAUUGUUAAAAUUCCAACGUCCAUUCCUUGGAAAGAUAUCUUCACCAUUGCCCACUCAAGAGAACUCAAAUAGCAGCAAGAUCUCGUAUAAAAUGUAACUCUCAACAACACACACAAAUGUUUGUUCUAUCAAGGAACAAUACACAGACAUAUUCACCUACCCUUGGUGCUGGCAGAAUAUGCCCAUUCACUUUGGUGAAAUUAGAGUUGAUAAUAACCCCACAAGAUUUCUGCACCAUAAUUACUGCGAAGUAAACCUGCACAUAAAUUUUCAUUCUUCACUAGAUACAUAUUGGAAAUUGGCCAACCAUGCUGCUGUUACAUUUUGUGGUUGAAGUGCAUGCAGCUUGAUGACAUGCUGGAGCACAUAUGGUUGCUGUAACAGCAAGGUUUCUCUUUAGUUUCUUUGUUGAUUAAACUAGUUGAAAAUGAACAAGUUGAUGACAACUUGAUGCAUUAGGUGUUGAAUGACUAGUUUAGGUGGCUUGUUUAUGUGUACAAGCAAUGUUUUAAUAGUCCCAAUGCUGAUUAGUGGGGUUAGUUGACUAUUUGAUGAUGUAUUUGACUAUAAAUGUAUGUUUUUUCUAGUUGAAUGAAUGAGCUGAAUAGGCUAUCAGCCAUAAGCUCCCUUGCUGCACAUUUGUGAGCAAGUAAAAAUACUUCUUGCACCUUGCUUCAUUGUUAUGCUCUCUGUUCUCUUCUUUUGCUGCUGCCAAAUGUUCCAACAAUACAGAAUCUAUUUUUGUAAGUAAAAAUUAGUUGUAUUCAUUGUUCACAUAAUUGAUCUUUUGUUGUGGAAGUAUUGUAUUUCCGGUAAUCCAUUAAGUAUUCAGUGUUUGAUAUAAUAGAUUUGCAUUUUAUUAUUGUAUUUUGUGAAAGGAUCCUUUAUCUAUUUUUUGUAACCUAUUUUGUUUUUUGCAUUUCUGAUUAGUUUACAUGAUGGCAUACUCAAUGAUCUCUUAAGUUAGUUAUGUUAGGCUCUUUAACCAUUGUUGUAGCUCACCGUACGUACUCCAUGCCCCCUUAUCCAUAUCUAGCUACUGACUAGUACACAACUAUCAUUGUUCUCACAUCACAUGUGGAUUGGUGGAUUUCUGAUAAUGGGUGUUGUUGCGCAUGCAGCCAUUUUUAUGGUAAGAGACAAUGAUUCAACUACUCUAUACAAUGAUUUAUUAGAUCGUGAUGUAAUCAUAUCACAUCUCAAUUGGGCAUUUAUAUUUCUUGACUUUGUAUAUUCAUAAUGAUACCAUGAUAGCCUUUUCCCCUCUUUUUUUUUGUUUUUUUUUUUUAUCUCUAGUCUCAAUUUUGGGCGUGACACAAUGAAAUUAGAAACUAAAUCUAUUUUUGUAAGUAAAAAUUAGUUUUAUUCAUUCUUCACAUAAUUGAUCCGGUAAUCCAUUCAGUGUUUGGUACAAUAGAUUUGCAUUAUAUAUAGGUUUGCCAAUGAGAUGGCAAGCAGACUGCUAGCUAGAAAUUCUUGCAUCUUUGAAUCACCAAUUCAAUUAAUAAGCUUAACUAAAGGAAAUAAGGACUUUACAUCCACCAAUUUUAGCAACCUAUAUGUACCCUUUUACAGUCUGCAUUGUUCCAUGUUUCAAUUCAUUCCAUCAUUCCUUCAACUCUGCUAUAUAUUAUUACCAUCUCCAGACAACCAAUCCUUUUACUGCUAACUUGUAAAGAAAUUAAGAAAAUACAGCAGAGAUCAUUGACACAUUUUGUUCUCCUUUCUCCUUUACUGAGCAGUAGCAAAGAUUGUCGAGACUAAAUUGAAAGUCAUGAAAGAAGACAUAAACAACACCACCAUACAAAAUGUUACACUCAAACAAACCGUUACAGAUAGUACGAAAUGCAAUGAAAGAGGAAUUGGUACAAUAAUAAAGACAGACACAUACCAAUGCAACCCUUCACCAUAGGCAAAACGGUCUACAGAACAAUAAAUUAUGAAAAUACAACACUAAUUCUUCAACAUCCUUUGCAGUAAUUAGAUCCUUUUUCGUCUAUAGCUUCAAUUGCCUUUCUUUGACUUUCUUCUUCGCCUCCUCUCUUGUUGGUUUUCAACCAAACUCACCAACCAUUUCGGCUUACCAGUUUGGAAAACAACAUAUCCCACGGACAUUCCGAACACCACUCCGCAUCCAUAACCUAUCAACACCACUUUCCAACCAAAAGCAAUGUUUGAUGUUGAGCCAUCUUUUUCAAGCACAUUUGGAGGUGCUGGCUCAAUGAUGUUGCAACCUUUCGAGACCGGAAACCCACAUAGUCCCUUAUUCCCUUCAUAUGAAUCAAUUCCAAAUGUGUUGAAUUGUUUUCCUUGAGGAAUCUGACCAUGGAGUUGAUUUUCAGAAACAUUGAAGGACGAAAGAAAUGGCAGAUCUGCCAAUCUAUUUGGAAUCGUCCCAGACAACCUGUUUGAAGAUAGGUCCAACCAUUCAAGACUUGUCAAAUUCCCUAUUGAGGUGGGGAUACCACCAUUAAGGUUAUUAUGGGAAAGGUUGAGCCCCUUUAGUAAGUUAAGCUUCCCAAUAACUUUUGGAAUCUCUCCUUCAAACUGAUUGUUUGAUAGAUCUAUGAUCAUCCACAUGGUGAAAAUUUUCACCAAUUCCCUAUCUUGUCCUUUCAUAACAAUUUCAAUGGAAUAGGUAUAAAAGUCACUACCUGUCGAAUCAUACACCCCCAUGUACGACAAUUUACUCCCAAUCUUCUCUAGAUUUAUGAUACCCUUGAAGCUGUUGAUGUAUCUCUCUGGUAGGGGUCCAGAAAAAUAAUUACUUGAGAGAUCAAAGAUUUGGAUUUUAGAGAAAAAAGGGCUAGACUUGGAGCUAUUGACACAUAAGGAACCAUGCAAAUGAUUUGACUUCAAUACAAGAACUUGCAAAUAUGGAAGACUUCCCAACCAAUGAGGAAAUGUAUCAUUGAUCUUGUUGUUACCAAGAUCUAGCACUUCCAGACCAUUACAAUUAAGGAUGGAUGGUGUCAAAGGCCCUUCUAACAGAUUUCCAUUUAAGUUGAAAUUACUCAAUUGGCAUCCCUCUGCAAAUGUUGGAGGAAUCGUCCCAUAGAACUUGUUCUUCUUCAGAUUCAAGAAUUUAAGGCUGUUGCUCAGAUUUCCAAAACAUUGCGGAAUUGUUCCACUCAAGUAAUUGUGGGACAAAUCAAGAAUUUGAAGAGCACUGGCAUUGCAUAUUAAAGAAGAGACCUCUCCAUUGAAACUAUUAUUUGAGAUCAGAAAGACAUUGAUCGUCGAUGCUGGAAUCGGAAGAUUUCCACUGAUCAAAUUGGAGCUUAAGUCAAGAAAUUCAAUAUUCUUCCAUGGAAAGUGCUCAACUUCUGUCAAAGAGUUGUGAGAUACGUUUAAGUAAGUCAAAGAGUCAUUCCCCACCUCUUGCAUCCACUGUGGAAUCUUGCCUUCAAUUUUGUUGCAAGAGAGGUCUAAGCUUUCCAAACUUUUAAGCCCUUUCAAAAAUUGGGGGAAUUCACUAAAAUUGCAAGAUGACAAAUGUAAGUCUGUAAGAUUAGGCAAUAUAUGAUUAACACUAGAAGUAGAAUUAGAUGUUAAGGAUAUGCGGAUAUAUGAAAGGUCAAGAUAUUCGAGAUUUGGAAGGCUUGAGAACAUGCGAAACUCUAUAACACCACUAAGAUUAUUUGAGGAUAAAACGAGGUGGGUAAGAUUGAGAACUUGGAAUAUUGAAGAUGGAAAAGGACCUUGGAGUUUAUUAUUGUUUAGAUAUAAAUGUUCUAGUGAUUUGGAUUGGAAUUCUUUGAUAUGCCCACUGAAUUGAUUUUGAGAGAGAAUUAUAACCUUUAAGGAGGGAGCAGUAUACAACCAUGACGGAAGUGUUCCAUUGAGUAAAUUGUCAGAUAAGCCUAAAUAUAUUAGAUUAGGAAAAGUGGUUACCUCAUCUGGAAUGGAUCCUUCUAAAGAAUUUUCAGAUAUUCCCAAGUAUUCCAGCUGGGUUAGGUUUAGAAUUGACAAUGGAAUUUGUCCACUCAAUUGGUUCCACGCCAACUCUAAAUAAGUGAGUUGCAAGAGGUUUCCCAGUGAUCUUGGAACCGUUCCUGAUAAGUUGGAAUUGGAGAGAUCUAAAAACUUCAAGGACACAAGAUUCCCCAUCGAAUCGGGCAAUCCUCCAAAAAUAUUUGCGCCUCUAAUAAUCAAGUACUCCAAAGAUGAUAAAUUUGUGAUUGAGACAGACAAUCCUUGAAAGAAAGAAUUUCCUGAUAGAUCUAAGUACUUUAAGGCCUGUAGAUUAUCAACUGAAUCAAUUAAUUCUGUAGAGAAGGACAUGGACGACAGAUCCAAAUGUUCAAGAUUGCUGCUCCGAUUGAACUUCAAGGGAUUAAGAUUGAGGUUUUGAUUGCCUCCCAAGUUGAGGAGAUUGAGGUUUGGGAAAUAAAAAAUGUUAUUUGGGAAUUUUCCUGGCAAAUCACAACCAGCAAGACUGAGAGACCUUAGAGAAGAGGAUAGAUUCAUGAAGACAUGAGCAUUAACAGAAGACAUGUCCAUUCCAUCCAAAAACAGAUGUCUGACCUCGGUUAGGUUGUGAACAAGUCCCUCCAGAGCAUGUUUGUCAAUUGUAAAUUGCUCAUACUUAUCAGUCCAAGAGGAGAGAUCGAGUGAAACCAAUUUUGGCAGGUGGGAGACUUGGGAUGGGACUUCUCCUACAAACCCUGUACGAGAAAGGUUGAGGUAGAAUAGGCUUGUAAACCGACCGAACUCGGAUGGCAUUUUGGAAAGAUUAAAAUGAUUGUAGGCAAGGUUGAGUUUUUGAAGGUGAGGAAGAAGGAAGAGAGUGGUAUUGGAAGGGAAGUUGCCAUAUAGCCAACUGCAACUCAAGUCAAGGGCAAUAACAUGAGCAUUUAGGUGGUCGCAAGUGACCCCAUCCCAUGAGCAGCAAUCUGUACCCUCCUUCCAUGAAUUUGUCUUGGGAUAAGAUUUAAGGCCAGUAAUAUAAUCGCAAGACAAAGAAGCAACCUUUUUUAUGGAAAAAGAGUCCUUAAACUGGAUUAGUGAAGAGCAGGAGUGAGAUUCUGAAGAAGAAAAAGAAGCAUAAAGAUGGGGAAAGAAGAGGAAUAGGCAGAGAAAGAGAUAGGGGGCCAUGUUAUGUUUGUAGAGGAAGAAGGAUAGGAAUGGUAUUUAUAGGCAACAAAUAAUACCACAACAUUGGUGUCUUUUACAUUGAAAAGCUAUGGAUAUUAGAUUUUCAAAGUUUUUGUAUUUUUCACAAUCAUCAGCAACCACUUGGUCUUGUUUUUACCAUACAUUUUUCGAUUUUUUUAUAGCAAAAUGUUGUAUAUCAUUUGAACUCCCUAAACAACUAAAAAAAUUAAGAUUGAGGAAGAAGACUGCUGGAAAUUUAAUCCAUCGAUUCUAUAAAAACGUGUAUACCUAUACAUAUAAUAAUCUCAUAAUUCAAAUCUAAAAUCUCAUUUGUUAUAAAUUAUGAUAAACUUAUUUGGGAAUAGCUAUUUUUCAUUAAUUAAAUUAUUUCUCUUUUAAUCAAGUAAAAAAUUAAAACUAAAAAGACAUUUAAAUAAUUUAAAUAUCAUUUAAAUUUACAAUCUGUGAUUUUAUAAUAGAAUAUGCAUUAAGGAUUUGCACACACACAGACAUGUUGUGAAGAUUGAGUGAAAUACUAGCUGUCCAAUUAAAUAUAAAAAAUGUCUUUGUUUUUCUGUUGGUAAUGAACAGGAGCCAAAUGUUGAAGUGGCUGGAACUUGUCUUGUAUUGCUUGCCUGCAGAUUUUGGUAUGUUUGAAAUGUAUGGAGAUGUGCCAAGUGGAACUAUUUUGGGGCUUAUCACUACCUCUGUGUCACACAACAGAACACAAAAUAAAAUAAUCAAAUCAGAUCUUUGAAUAUUGAAAUACCAAAAGUUAAAAGAGUACAUGCACUACAACCAAAAGUUUCGAUAUAUGAGGGUAGUGGGACAUGUAUGCUUGUGACCAAUUGGCUAGAAUUACAGGUCUGAAAUGUGGAGAACGUGUGGAUGUAAUUUUGCCCAUUUAUUACAAAUUGAUAAAACUGCAAUAUAAGUGCUUACUAUUUUAACUUUGUUACAAAUUAGUCCUUUUUUCUAAAAUUUAGGGAUUUAUAUAACUCAUUUUCAGAAAUUGACUCAAUUCUUUAAUAGUCAUUGUCGAAAACAUUAUAGAAUACCAAGCUUACGAAUUUGAAAGCAUUAUUGAAAACAAUUAUUAUUUUCAUAAAAUCAUUCAUCAAAUUUUUGUUUUCAAAUUUCAUACAUGAAAUUAACAAAUAAAGAUAGCUCUAAAUAGCAAAACCCAAUAUGUUUUAUCCAAAUUGAUAAAGAUGUUGAUGCAACAUUUUAGAUUGCGAAUUCCUUCAUCACAUUUGGAAUCCUAACCACAGGGACUUGCAAGCCUAUUACGAGUGCUAUGAUAAUCAAAUAAAAUUCAAUUCAAUUUUAAGUUCCAUAUAUAUAACACUUACAUGGCUACAAAAUGUGUGUGUGUGUGUAAGUGUCCUCAACCACAAACAAUCCAAAUUUGCACAGAAACCACCCAUUACAUAUAGGUUUGCCAAUGAGAUGGCAAGCAGACUGCUAGCUAGAAAUUCAUGCAUCUUUGAAUCACCAAUUCAAUUAAUAAGCUUAACUAAAGGAAAUAAGGACUUUACAUCCACCAAUUAAAGCAACCUAUAUGUACCCUUUUACAGUCUGCAUUGUUCCAUGUUUCAAUUCAUUACAUCAUUCCUUCAACUCUGCUAUAUAUUAUUACUUUCUCCAUAUAACCAAACCUUUUACUGCUAACUUGUAAAAAAAAUUAUGAAAAUACAACACAGAUCAUUGACACAUUUUGUUCUCCUUUCUCCUUUACUGAGCAGUAGCAAAGAUUAUCGAGACUAGAUUGAAAGUCAUGAAAGAAGACAUAAACAACAACACCAUACAAAAUGUUACACUCAAACAAACUAUUACAGAUAGUACGAAAUGCAAUGAAAGACAGAGGAAUUGGUACAAUAAUAAAGACAGACACGUAACAAUGCGACCCUUCACCAUAGGCAAAACGGUCUACAGAACAAGAAAUUAUGAAAAUACAACACUAAAUCUUGAACAUCGUUUGCAGUAAUUAGAUCCUUCUUCGUCUAUUGCUUCGAUUGCCUUUCUUUGCUUUUCUUCUUCGCCUCUUCUCUUGUUGGUUUUCAACCAAAUUCACCAACCAUUUCGGCUUACCAGUUUGGAAAACAACAUAUCCCACGGACAUUCCGAACACCACUCCGCAUCCAUAACCUAUCAACACCACUUUCCAACCAAAAGCAAUGUUUGAUUUUGAGCCAUCUUUUUCAAGCACAUUUGGAGGUGCUGGCUCAAUGAUGUUGCAACCUUUCGAGACCGGAAACCCACAUAGUCCCUUAUUCCCUUCAUAUGAAUCAUUUCCAAAUGUGUUGAAUUGUUUUCCUUGAGGAAUCUGACCAUGGAGUUGAUUUUCAGAAACAUUUAAGGACGAAAGAAAUGGCAGAUCUGCCAAUCUAUUUGGAAUCGUCCCAGACAACCUGUUUGAAGACAGGUCCAACCAUUCAAGAGUUGUCAAAUUCCCUAUUGAGGUGGGGAUACCACCAUUAAGGUUAUUAUGAGAAAGGUUGAGCCCUUUCAGUAAGUUAAGCUUCCCAAUAACCUUUGGAAUACCCCCUUCAAACUGAUUGUUUGAUAGAUCAAUGAUCAUCCACAUGGUAAAAAUUUUCACCAAUUCCAUAUAUUGUCCUUUCAUAACAAUUCCAAUGGAAUAGGUAUAGAAGCCACUACCUGUCGGAUCAUACACCCCCAUGUACGACAUUUUACUCCCAGCCUUCUCUAGAUUUAUGAUAGCCUUGAAGCUGUUGAUGUAUCUCACUGGUAGGGGUCCAGAAAAAUAAUUACUUGAGAGAUCAAAAAUUUGGAUUUUAGAGAAAAAAGGGCUAGACUUGGAGCUAUUGACACAUAAGGAACCAUGCAUAUGAUUUGACUUCAAUACAAGAACUUGUAGCUGUGGAAGACUUCCCAACCAAUGAGGAAAUGUAUCAUUGAUCUUGUUG
rnacentral:lncRNA from 1 species